rnacentral:lncRNA from 1 species
ACGCGGAAACUGUAAAGUCAUUUGAAAAGCGCCAGUAGAUCUCCAAAGUAACCGCCGGGCCGGGCUGUAUCCACAGACUUCACCUUUUAAUGUUGACAACAGCGUGUCUCUGUCGUGCGCAGGACUUUGGAUAUCAAAUCAGACAGUUUAUCUGACCACUCAGUCAGCGGGCUGUCACCCUCGGGACUAAGUUAUGGCACAGAACGAGUCGUUAGUCGCGUUGAAUGGGACCCAAGUAAGUUUCGAGAAACUCUCCCCCCUCUGUCAGACUUAACCCUCACACAGUUAGGCGGUUUCAUAUCACCUACAUGUUUCAAAAGUGCACUUUUUAACGCUGCUUGAGCAUAUGCGAGUGUUGUUUAUUUCUCCUACAUCACCGGUGUCAUGUGACCCACUGUGGCUAAUGUUACAGUCGUGACUUUCAGUUUAGCAGUUACUCCUACAACUUUUACCAAACAUCUAUAGACUACAGCUCUAACUUAUGUUAAAUGGUGAUACUUUGCCAAACAAAUGCUACACAUGUCUGCUCCUCUGGGUGCGAAACAGGGUGAAACAAUCCCUGCAGAGCUAAUAGCUGCUCCAUAUCGCCUAGCAUCGUAUUUCAUUCAUAUUACAUUCAACUCAAUUCCAAAACUUGUAUUGCUUUGGUAGGAGAACCUGUUAUUAACCUUUAAAUAGGUAUAUACCUAGAUUUCAUGAUCAUAUGGUAGUUUUUAUCCAACUGUCUUUUAUUAUUGUUGUCAUUAGACUGUGUAAUUUCCUCUUAGUGUUUACUUCUCUGCUUUCUAUGUAUUGGUUGCUCACUAAUGUGUCUAGGUCAAGAGAUUUCUGCCUGUUAAAGAGACAGUUUAUCUUACAAGCUUGGACUAUAAUAGAAAAAUGUUAGAUUUCUGCAAAUAAUACCAAAUAUAUACGAUUUACACUAUCGCUAAAAUUAGUAACACCAUCACUAUCGCCAGGUGAUAGUGGGGUAACCUGAAAUAAUAUACCCAAGAAAAAGUACUUGUCAUCAAAGUAUAUUGAAAUAGGACAAUACACGACAAAUUAAAGUAUUUUUUCUUUAAUUUUUAACUGUGCAAUGUCCAAAGGGAGGAAAAAAAGUGCCAUGAGGGGAGCAUAUAAAAAUGCAACAAAAAACUGAAAUUGGGCAUUCGAGAACAAAAAAAAUCCUAAAAAAUAAAAUAUAGAAACUGCAAACUUGGUUUCUUUUCCACCUAUUCCUGGGACAUGUGAGUCUUCCCUGGUGAAGACUCAGGGUCCUCGGCACAAUAACAGCUGCAGGAGAGAGAACCAAAAUAUGGCAUAUUUUGAGUGAGUAAAAAUAACCAGCUGACCAAAAUAUUUCUUAUCACCAUAUGAAUUCCCUGUAAAAUCACCACUUUGUGAUAGUUAUUCAUAACCACUGUGCUAAAUAAAGAUAGCAUUCAAAUUCCAGGACCACUCUUACUGACCUUAUUCGCCCACAUGCAGCUAUGAAAUCCACCCAAACCUACUUUACCCUCUCUCGCUAUUGCCAGGUGAAAAUCACCAGAACAUGUGCCUGUAGGAAAAAGCAGGUUUUGGAUCAGGAGAACAAAUAUGCCUUCAAAGAUUUCAAAGGCAAUGUUGAAGCUACCCAGGGACCCAUGUUACUCAGACAAACACAACAUGAAAAUCACAUAAACAUGUUUGGUCUGGUGAAAAUCACCUGGCGAUAGUGUACUAGGGUCAAGACCUGCUUUGUAAAGUGUAAUGAGAUAUCUUCUGAUGUGGUUAAAAGAAGAAAUGCUGAUUGAUUAGUUGACCUUAAAACUAUGUAUUGUUGUGCUUUUGCUAGAGAUGCUUCUGUAUCAUCCUCACUUAUCAUUAUUUUCCUCAGAUUUCAUACAUCGGACACGACUGUAUGGACAUUCCUGACUUCCUCGGAGACACUUACGGCCACUUUGCAAGAAGGCUGGAUCUAAGCUUCAACCAGCUCAGGUAGAUGACAAAUGCACAGAUGACAAACAUAUAAUCACCAGCAUGUGUAGUGUCAGUCUCUCCCCCUCACUCUUUAUCUGUCUGUUACUGGGAGACACACGUCUUUACAUCAGGUGCAAUUGAAUUUGUGCCCUCAGUCUAUAGGUGUCCAGAGUGUCAUCAGAACAUCAAAAGGCUGAAUGAGAGUCAGAGCUGGGCGGGUGCCACGCUGGGGCAGGAUAAAAGGCGCGAUCGAUAAAUGUGACAUGCUAAUUCGGGGGCAAAAUAGAAGAAAAGAUUCCUCUGUCAGAACAUGAAGGAACACCUCAUGGCAGCCGCUUCAGAGGGGGCUGCCAUUUCAACAGCAGGGCUGGCAUAGUUGAUCUGGCAAGUAAAGGGGAGGAGAUGAUGGUUGUAAGGUGCUUUUGUUUCUGAACCCCUUUCAUGACUGUCAGGCCAUGAAGCUGCUCAAUAGAGGCAAUUUUUUGAUGAAAUAGUUGUCUUGAGGCAGUUGUCUGUGCUGAAGAUGUGGAGUCUUCAAUUUAACUGAUUUACAUCUUGUCAAACAGGAAAAAUCCACCGUUUAUUGCAAAUGUUCAGCUGAUAUCAACAAAACAAUUUCAGAUAAAGUCAGAAUGAAAAUUGGACAUCAUGGAGUUGCAGAUUUGGAAAUUUUUCACAAUUGUAGUGCAUUUGUAAAUACACCUUUAAUGUAGGGCUCAACUUUACAAAAGGUAAUGUUUAAAUAUUCAGGGAUCUGGGCAAUAAUUCAGACACUAACCCGUAUUUUUGAGUGGGAGUGAACAAAUUGUUGUCAGAUAAAUUGUGUGUAGCUGGAGUGAUGUAUAACCAGCACAGACAUAUGGAUGUUGACCUGAUAAAAGAACCAAAAGCUGGUGGUGCUAGCUCUGCUAAUGUUAGUCAAAGUAGUUUGAUGCUAUUCACCUGAGGAGUCUCUGAGUUGAACUUUUUCUUACAUUUAGACUAGUCAAUGAGUCGGAAUUUGAAUUACCAUUUUAAUGACAAUGAAACUAUACUGUCAUAUUACCUUUAGUCAGACAGCAUGUUUUGGCGUUAUUAAGUGUGUGAUAUUAUUUACCAGGUAUCCAUCUGGUAUUUAAAGACCUGCUGUGAUGCUUGCUCACUUUCCUGCUUCAAGUUCAACUGACUAGAAAUGUUUUUUAGCAGCAGUAAAGGAAAUGAUGUGUGAUGCUUAGAUUUAAUCAUAGUGAUGCCACCUAGCAACGUACCUUUCACACACGCAGUUGUGCAAAAAAAGUUUGCAUAGAAAAACAUUCUCAGAGUAGAGCUGUGUUCUUGCUUGCAUCCUCCUCCUUUAUCUUUGGUUUUUAUCUGUUGGUCAGGACAAACUUAUAACUGCAUUUAAUCACAUUCAUUUAGUACUGGUGUGGUUAAUCAGAAGCUUUAUGUGCUGGUAUCAUCAAACAAAUCGCCCCUGAACAGCAGGUACUGCGAUGAAUCUAUUGAUUGUCAUCUGAUCAUGAGUGCUGUGUGUACGGUACUAAACACUUGGACAGCUGAAUAAUAGAUGCCUUGCUGUUACCUCAGAGGAAGUGUAAGCCUGGUGUGUGUUGCAAACAGCAUUAUGAAAUCUGACUGAAACAACGCUUGUGUGUGUUGCUUUCAGAGAGAUCAAGGCCUGCAUUAUGUUCCUCGCCCUUGAACCUGUCACAUUAAGAGCUUGAUGUUUAUAAUGAAUUAUUAAUGGCUCAGAUAUUACUAAUUCAUUAAUAAUCCUCAGUUUGGCUAAUCUGAGAUGUCAGAUAUCUUUACCAAACUUCAAAGGAUGGUGUGGGCAGAGAAGCGGCGCAGAAGUAAUGAAGUGGUACUCUUGAACCAUUUGGGGCAUAUAUCAGUGGACUAUUGAUUGAUGGUUUGCUAUUGGGCAAAGUGAUCUGUUACACAGCGCUCCAUCUUUUUCUCCUAUAGCCAGGAUGCUUGAAGGGUUCACAUCAAAAACCUGUCUAGAAAGGUAGCAAAAACCGGUCCUGAGAGAUGAUUUUCCUUCUCUGUUGUAAACAUUUCAUAUGCACACCCCUUUCUUAGUUUUAAGCUCUAGUGUAGGCUGUUCUGCUUCUUCUUCUUCUGCGGUUGUCAAAUCUGUUAAAGCCGGUUCCCACAAGUGAGUCUUAACUAACACCGGAAGCACAGAGCUCUGCAUCUCAACUUUUUGCCACAAAGAAAAAACAGUACAUGUAACUAACAUGCUAGCAUGGUAAUAUAGGCAAUUCUCGUUCAAAUCCUUUGUGGAGUUGGAGUUUGUGCCUGCUUAUGUUGAUUUGAACUUGUCUGGAUUUUAUGGGUGGGUGGAGUUAGGGAACACAAUGAGCAGUCCAACAUGUGAUAAACCUACAUGCUAACAGAAUAUCAACCCCCUCAGUAAUUCUGAUCUCUGUAAGAAUGUACCUCAGAGGCCCUUGACUCACAGCCUUAAUGAUGGAAAGCUUUUCCUGACGAAGACAACUUUAUUUUUUCAUGACAGAAGCUGGCUGACAGAUACGGGUUAAAAUGCUGCCUCACAUGUACCCGAUAAAGUAUUAAACACUUCUCUGUUUCCCAAAUAUCUUUGCCCUCAAAGGGCUGAAAUAUUGCAAAGCUGUCAUGUCUUACAUUGAGUCAUUACUAUCAGUUGACAAAAAACUAUGUUUUUCAAAAGAGUGGAUUUAUUGUCUUAGUCUGAGUGAAACAGGACAUAUAAACACAUGUAAAUUGAACUUCUCAUAGUCGGACUAACAUACCAGGAUCAUGUAGUCGGGGAUGAUUUUCUUUGUCAUGUAUAUGGCAUCAAUGUUUGCACGCUGAGCUUUGAGGGCUAAGUUGGUUAGCAUGAAUAUGUUGCCAGGAAGCCUCAAUAGACAAAGAAAGGGUGCAUUAAAGACGAAACUUCCCUAUCCUACAAACAAACAGUACAGAGCUGUAAAACUGACAGUGUAUUAUCAUUCGAUGUACAUCCCAUUAGCUUCUUGCCAUAACGUUUUUCUGACUGGUUUUAUACGUAAUACAUCAACUUGGAGGCGACCCAAUAGUAACAAGCUGAAGGAGGGCAUUUCGCCACCUACCGUUGCAGAGGCAGACAUGCAUCUGUCAAUAAUUCACUUUUUGCCUUUUUGCAUGUAAAUCUAGACAAGGACAUCAGUCCAAUUAAUUCACCUAUUUGAGCUAUAACUGCAGCUUGUAUGUAAACGAACUGAAAGAUCCCACAGAUAGCAACCUGAGUCAAUAUCACAAUUGCUGUAAGAAGAAUAAAUUAAAUGAAACAACAUCUUACUAACACUGCAUAGAUAAGCAUGUUUCAGUGGACUCCACACACUUGAUUAUUAAUAUUAUUGACAAUGAGAUUCACUCAAGGAUUUACACCCAAGGCAGCCUCUAAAAAUUGAGUUCACCCGCCUUUUAAUUAUGAACACAACAUUCAUGGUAAUCCCAGUACAUUCAUUGUUUGGAUAGGGCAAACACAAGGAUAAAGUCAUAAAGGCGCUAACACACACAUGUUUGGAUCUUGGUUUGGUGACCAAGCUCGUCUUCCUUCUGGAUGUUGUACAGCCAGUGCCCUCCUGCUUUAGUUGAGUGAUUAAAACUUGAUAUUUGGAGUUUUAGAUGUAUUUGUACUGCAACAGGAUUCAACAAGCUGGCUAUAUCUACGAAAGUUAUUUUAGCGCUUGCCUUGUCCUUGCCUAUAAUCGGACAAGGCAAGCGCUAAAACAACUUUCGUAGAUGUAGCCAUCUUGUUUCUGCCUUUUGAUUGUUUCCGACCUGGUAACUAAAACACUGGUGACUCGGGUGUGACGUCAUUCCCAGCUCGGACUUCUGACUUCCCGAACGCAGCAUUACUGUCUGAUUGUUUGAGGGGUCGCCUGAUUCGUUGAUAGUGGAUGGUGUUCGUUUAUUGAGAAACUGGCAAGACUACUGUAGGGGAUGCUUGGCACACUAACACAAAUGUUCAUGUGAUUGUACACUGCAAAUUUACAAUAUUAUAAUGUCUGUAUUCAGACAUUAAGAGAAAAGUACUCAGAGAAAUGUGCUUCACUUUGUUUGGGGCUGUUUUGCAGAUGAUUGAUUCUUAUCUGGUACAGUAUUAUCGCACAAUAUGACACCAUUUCAUCUUGUAGCCUCAGCCUUCAAGAAUCUACUUCCUGACAUAGCAUGUCAGAUAGUAGAGACAUUUGUGAAUUGACACCGUGACCUCGUUUCACUGUCAGCUCAAGCAAACCAGGUGUAAACACAUGCGCAUGUGAGAGAAACUCAACGGACUGCCUUGGGCAUCAUGCACUUCUCCGUGCUGCUUGACUCAAACGGAGAGAGAGACAUUGCCAGAGUUUGUUGAAGCUAAUAUGCUUAUUUCUGUCACCUCAAUUGACAACACUCAUCCAGCGAGCUGACAAUGAGUCAAAAUGAGAAGCAAUGUACUGGCACCACCUUUAACUGAGUGCUGUGUUUUUUGUGUGUGCUGCAUGUAUGUUUGUGUUUGUGUGUGUGCUUGUGUUUGGCGGUGGUGGAUCUGCCUCCUUGAGUGUAACUGUGAGUGGCUGGGCAGGUAAUGGCAGGAUGAAAUUAUGGUAGCGGGCUGUCACACCCACACCUCUCCUUGUGUGUGCUACACUGUCAGCCUGUCUCAUCAAUGUGUUGAAAAGUGUGGCUCACAGUGAGAUUUCUGUCUCAGGACUAGCAUGGGUGGCAUUGUGUCGUCCACUUUGUUCCAGGUCAGGUGUGUACACAAUGCAGUGAGUGGGCAUAUGCUGUCAUGACAUGAUUCCUCUCUGUGACCGGGAUGCUGGCAUCUGUUACAGUGCAGUGUUACUGUCUUGGACACAUGGGGCUCUAGGAGGACACAUGUCUGUGAGUCGCUGCGAGAAUUCAAACAUUUUUAGAGCCAUGACAGCUUUUCUUCUGAGAUCUGGCACGGCUUCUGGAGAAAUAAAUCAUGUUUGUGCAACAACAGCAGCGGUGAAGCAGUCACCUAAGCCUAACCCUUACCUCACAUUUGAUGUAGCUGGGUACAUCAUGCAGAAAUGUAUAAUGCAAACUAUGCUACAAGAAAUGUUAAAUCUGUUUAAUCAUAAUUCCAGUCGGUGCAUUUUACAGACCAACUCAUCUGUUCCAUAAAAUUCUAUAGCAGCAGAACCCUACUCAAGUUGUGCUUUGUGCUUAAUGUAAUCCAUCAAGGAACACCUGCACUAAAUUUUACAAUACAACAGCUUUGCAAUAAAUCUCCAUUAUACCUCAUUAAACUUUCUGUGUUGACUCGACUCAUGGAGCCUUUCUGCUGUAUAUUUGAUUGUACAUCAUUCAGAGGCAAUAUGUUAAGGAUUGGCUGUUUUAUGGAUAUUGUCCUAUAAAUAAGCCUCUGGCAAUCCUAUUAGGCCAAAAUGAAUAGGAAAUGGUCCAAAUAUAUUUGGAUUGAUGAAAAAGAUACGCGCUGGUGUUAUGUGCACAAAACAGGUGGCUAUGUGACCCUCGCAUUGACCCCUACUCUGGCAGGCGCUCUGAAAGAAAAGAGGUUUGAUCAUAAACUUAAUCAACAAAAUUAUACAAAAUUAUUUCUGCACAUCCUGCUGAGGUUUGAUUUCUUUAUGCCGGAUGCAGCGCUGUGUCAUCAUAAAAACUUUAUCUGUAACUCUUAGUGCAUUUCCUCCCCACAUCAAUCGCUUUGACAUUUUAGCUCGUCAGACCAAUUUAACACGUCUUGUUUAUAACUUUAAAACUGCUUUCAAUGACAGCCUGGCGAAUGUAUAACACAGCUGAUACUGUAAGUGAAUGUUGGCCAAUUCCAUAAAGGGUUGUUCUGUUUAGGACCCACAUAUAGAUUUAUCAAACCCCAGAAAUCAAUUACCUUUAACCUUAUAGAUUCUGCUGUCAUGUCUUGCAGGUCUAAUAGCAUAACUUUAUAUAUAUCGAGUGGAGUGGUGUCGUUUAAGCCGAACACACACCCCGCAGGUGUUAAACUACACAGAGAAGAAAUCUGGUGGUUGUUUGCAGAGAAUGAUAGCUUAUCGGUAAGGAAGUCUGAAAUCUUGCAAGAAGGAAGUGAAAAAUAAAAGUGUUGCAAAAUAAGUUCAUGAAAGAGGGAACAUGAUGGACUAAUCUGUUCUGUACAGCCAAAUUAAAGUCAAAUCCAAAACCUUUUCACUGUCUUACGGUUGAAAAAUCUCGGUCCUCUCUGGCUGCUGCAGCAAGAAUAUGGUUCUUGUCCUGUCCCACACAAAACAGCCAAGUUAAAGGUCCUUUCACACCGGAAUUGUUUUUGUUGUGCGAUUAUUUCGGACGUCAAUACUUUUUUUCAAACCCGUAUCCAGUCAAUACAAGCGUUCACAUCAGCGACGUUUUUUCAUAUCACGGUCGAUCAGAGGCGAAGGAGGCGGGACUUUCCCCGGGAAAAGUCUUCCCUGGGAUGCGUCUUUUCCCCCCCAGAAAGUCGCAAAAUCGUGUUGGGCGUGAUGUGUAUAGUCAGGCGCGUCAAAAUUUGCCCCUGAAUAUUUUGUAAUUUCUCGUUCUUUAUUCGCGUCGGUGUGUAAGGAUCUUUAGUGUACCCACAGUGGACUUCAUUGCAAGUCCUUGUAUUUAGAAAUCUAUGUUGAAAUCAGCAGGAGAAAAGCUAAUUCAACAAGGUGGCGUAAGGCUGGGUCAUGGUGUGUUCAAGGUUGGGUCGGUAAAAUGAAUGUGAAACUGAAUCACAUCUGUCCACCAAAUCAUGUUAAGGAAGCUCAGUAACAGUAUCAUGGUUAGGUUUUGUCAAAGCUAAAAUAAAAUUGGGUUGAAUCAAGCGCUUUUUAAUUUUCUUAUCCCCCUUAAAUUCAUGAAAACUGCUUUUGUAGUCGUUCAACUGCUUUUCUUUUUACUUGCAUUCAACCUUUCAUUUAAAGAUAUCUCCAUAUUUGACAUAGCAUUGCAGUUGCUACCUGAGUAUGUGUGUGUAUGUACAGUAUGUCUCUGUGUGUGUGUGUGUCUGAAGGGGUAUGUGCUCACCCUGGCUAUGUUGGUGAUGGCAGGCGUUUUGCAUUUUAAUGACAAAUCAAGUAUGCUAACUCGCGCUUUAAAACGAAAGUGCUCUAAAUGUCGCCCGGCUGUCAAAAUGAGAUGUAAGCGCUCUGAUGAAAAGAGAACAAAGAAGACAAAGUAGGGAGGCCUGGUACACUGAGAAAUGAAAUAAAACCUUGUAUGGCCUGUCAGCUGUGUCGUUUUAUAUUCAUAUCUAAAGAACAUUAUAGUAUUACUCCGCCGCUCAUGCCUCACUCAUCUGUCUCUCUUGAUUCGUCACAGGCGCCGCUCCGUCUUUCAAGUCGCUGUGUGUCAACACGGGAAGGGGCCUGCUAAUUGACAAAUGAGUGUCACAGACAUCAAGUGAUCCUUUUCUAUCCAAGCUAGGUAGACUCCGGCUGUUUGAUGGUGAGGGGAGGAGGGGAGGGUGUCAGUUAUUGGCAGGAUCCCAGUAUGAGGCAUUAGACCGGUCGGCGAAUGAGAAGUGACAACGGCACGAGAGCCUGUCAUUGUCUUGCCUAAGUGUUCAAUCUUCAGAGAUGCUGGUAUGCAGAUAAAGUGUCAGUUAGGAGGAGAGGAUAUAAAACAUUGGCAGUAUGAAGUCCUCAAAUCACUUAACUGGGAGUGCAAAGUGUGUGUGUGUGUCUGGUAAUAGUGGUGGCAUACUCUGUCCUGCUCAGGAAAUAUAUUCCAUAUCCGAUCUAUCAGACCUGUUAAGGCCCAUCUUCCAGGAUAACCUGAUCUGUGUCUCAUAAAUUAGGGAAAAUGCAGAGCUCUCACAGCCCUGUGAGAUUUAAACCAGGCGGAGGCAGAGGGACAAGGUCUAGCAGGAGGUGAUGUAUUCAUAUCAAGGACACUGAUACUUGAGUCUGCCCAUGGUUUUUAAUUUUCACAUCGGGUGUUUUUAUUUUUUCUAAAUGAGAUACGACUUCAGGAAACUGACAGGGUGACAAAACUGAGGAUGUUAUGCCUAAUGGAUGGCUUGUCUCAUUCCUCCAUCUCUUCAAUUUGAGCUUGUUUCAGAAUUUUACUCUAAUAGUAUUACUGCAAACACACUUUUCAAGGUGUUGAGGACAGUUAGAGUGGAGGGUCUGAGUGUCUGAGUCCGACAACGAAGAAGUGAAGAGGGAUAUACUCUGUCUACUUAAAUAGUGUGUUUGAAUGAAUUUCAGAGAGUGUUUGACUCCUUAAGAAAAAUGACUCAGGUUAAUACCAAUAUACGCCUACUUAGGCAAACCUGGGAUGACCUCUGAUGUCUGUCUGUAUUGCCUUUAGGCUGAUGUAGCUAAUCUAAAAAGUGUUUAACUUUUCCCCAACAAAGAUUUACAGUCACACACAUACACAUACAAAGAGAGCGGGGGAGUUUUUUCUUGAGACACACAGGUACAGGGCAGGAAGGGAAGGAAAUCCUCCCCCUUUUUUUUUUCACUGUUGACACAAAAUGAAAAUAACUCCAAAGCUCCUGUGAGUAACUUUUGGUUUAGAUGAUUUUCGUGUCCUCAUGAACAAAGCUGUACCCUCUGACCUGAAGAGUUUUCUAAUGGGACAGUCUCAUCCUGCUUCUCCUAACACUCAAAUAUAUCCAGUCAUCAUGAACCUCUACCAUGGGAGUUGUACAAAGACUAGUUUCAGGAGCCUGCUGUUCAUUGUUGUGCGUGAUAGCGGCAGCAUUUGUAGGUCACAUAGGGGAAUCUUGUUGGUUUCAGAACUCAACUCAACGCAAGAUCACAGUCUGUAGGUAAAAAAUAUCAGAUUUGAUGAACUUGGCUAACAUUAGCAGAGGUAGCACCACCAGCCUACAACUUUAUCUCCACUUUCUCUGAACACUGCGCUGUGCUACAAGAUGCCAUCUUGUUUAAAGUUGGGGGGCAGCAUGACAGUAGCCAUAAAUCAAAGCUACAGCCUCAGCGAAUAGCGUUUACUAUUUAUAAUCCAAAACAACAAUAUUGAUUCUGUCAUUUCAAUGUUAGUGCCCAAAAAUGGGCUUCUGUGUCUCUGGUAUGGUCAUCUGACAAGCCUCACUUUUCUGGUUACCUGGGUGACUAGUUCCCCCAUCUGAGUUUCUGAAUGGUUUAACCCAUUUGUCUAUCUGAAUGAUUUUCAAACUUAUACCAGUCGAUGUCUAUGAUUACCUGAAGUCCACUCAUUGUAAAUUUUCUAACAAGGGCUCAGUUGUUUUCUAAAACAGUAGACUACUGUAGUUCUAAGCCAAUCUUACUGUAAAAGAAGUGAAAUGUGCAUUUGAUAGGGUCAGUUUGCACUUUAAUAGUGACUUGAUUCUCCACAGUGAGAAAACUGCUAUCACCAUUUAAGGAAAACACUUUCAGUCAGAUCAGUGUUGACGUGUUAAAAGAUCAUUGUUUCCCUCAGUGGUAAGAAUCUAUGGCAGACAGGAGUAACUUUAGGCUUUGGAUUUACUCUUAUUAGUACGAUAAACGUCUUUGUCGGUGGUUUGGUCUUUUGAGGGCACCGGAUGAUAAAAAUCCAAAGAAAUGUCACCCUUAUCUUUUCAGCCAGUUGCGCAGCCAGUCUAUCAGCUAUCGGCGGCGCAUUUCUGUCGCCUUUGUGUAACUUAUAUAGUAUAAAUCUUUAUCUCUCUGUUAAAACACAACAAUAGCCAACUCAUGGUAGAGGAACUGUCUGUUAAUCACUGUCAGGAGCUGCCAUCAGCCUCCUUGAGCUCUCCAUAACCUCCUCUCCCCGUCAAUGUGAGGCCAUCUUGUGGUUUUGGAUUCUGAAUGGAAAGGAACAUCUUUAUGUUCCUUUUGUUCACAUUAUAUAUACUGGGCAGUGAUGCCAUUCCUUUUAUGACUGCGUCACAUUUUUUAUUGUAUAUCCCAAGACGGAUGGCGUGCCACUGACACAGAGAUUUACAGGCCUUCAGCUUGCAGUGGCAGAGCUUUAGAAGGGUUUGCUGACAUCUAGCCAACACUUUGGAGGAGGAGAAUAAAAGCUGACAUUUUAUUGGCUCUAAGAGAGAGAAAGAGGGAGAGAAGAGUUUGGGGAGGGGGGUGAAGAGGAAGGGAAGGGAAUGGGGAAAGAAAGGAAAAGAGAUUCUGUUUCUCUACUUUAUAUUUUUCAGCACUGCCAGCUGUCACGGGGACUUUGCUAAAAAGAUGGGAUUUAUUGGGUAUUAUUUAGAAACUUGUCAGCGGUAAUGACUACAGCUAUGAUUUCAAUUAUCACCCACUAAAUAUAGCUUAAUUCACUGCCUUGCUGGCCAUAAUGAGCCCUGACAUCAUUUUUCAAAAAUUCGAUACCAUGCUAUUUUAAUAUUUUAUGUUGACCACCGAUUUAAUUUUCCUCCCCGGUGCUUGGCAUGUGGCAAGGUCUCACUCCCUCAUGUGCAGUUGGAUAGUCAGAGCUAUUGAGUUCAAAGCUGUCCCAGGGAUAUAUUUUUUCCAUUGACAGAAAUCCAAUUAGUUUUAGUACACAGUCUGGCUGAAUAAAAAGGGUCUUAAAAUCUACAAUAUGUUUCCUUGGCGUUUUAGCCGAGUGCAAAGCCAGUGAUGGAUCUUUAUGAUUUGACCUGAUGGGGCCCAAGUGGACAUACUCCCUUUUUCUAUUUUGGCAAGUGAAAAACAAACCGUCCAUAUGUCUUACUCAUUUUGACAGACACAGCAGAACCUUUUGAUACCGCGUAAACAUGCACUGAACGGCUAAGAUCUUGACUCUCGUACAUAUUUAAACACUUAUUAAAUACUUCACGACUACUACACAAAUUCUGCAGAAACACCAUGUAAAUAUGAAAGAGGGGGAAAAAGUCAGAUGUAUAAUUCAUUAGUGACAUGUUUAGUAAGUAGACGAUUUUGGGAGCGUUAAUGUGUACUCAGGUUUUGACAUGAGGGUGUGCAUUUUUAAGCACGCAUUAAAAGGGAGAUGAUUAGGACUGGCACGAGACUGUCAAUAACAGGCUUGCUGCUUGAAGUUGAUGAUGUGGAUGAAUUUCAAUCUCAUAAAGCUGCUUCCCGUCCUCUGUGGCAACUGGGUUUCAAGGUAAAUAGCACAAGAAGAGUCAUUUAAGAUGCCCAGCAGUGAUCAGGACCUCUCCAUGUGAGCACUCUCUCAUAAAAGAAACGGUAAGAGGGCGCCGAGUUGAGUUUAAAACACAACCUGUGUCUCUUUUUAGCCUAUAACUCAAGCGCUGUUUAUGUUCACCCCAUCACACUUAGCCAUCUCCCAGAUUGAUGAUGUAAGCAACUGGAAGGCAUGGAACACAUUAGACCAGAGUAAAGAAAGGGCUGCCAUACUUCUACUUCCCUCGGCUGGCUCCCAAAUGGAAAAAAAAAAGGGAGAAAAAAAGAUUUGGAGCCAGUUUUGGAAGAGGAACAAAGCAGCUUCCUUUGGUACGGUUCAGGCAGUUUUGGUCGCUUCAUGGCCCUCAAUCUCCCGCAGUCUUUCCUAGAAGGCCCAGGGGUACGAAGUGAAGACAGAUACAUGGCUUAUCCAUGCCAAGAUCCUGGAGGAUGAUUGCACUUUUUUUUGCCAUGUUUUGAAUUUAAGGGGAUGAUUUUUUAAAGAGGGCUGCGUGAUGAAUGUUGUCAGUAGAUGAGUAAAUCCUAUGACCAUAAAAAGCUGUGGGAAGCUGUUAUUAGAUGUAGCAGCGCUUGAAAGCCUCAUGACUUUUAAAAGAAGUUACAUUUUAGUGAAGACGAUGGGACUAAUAUAGCGAUCUUUAACUCUCCAUGAUUUAAGUCCGGUUUAAUCGGUGUUUGCCACUCUUGAGGUGAUAAACGGAGGUACAUGUUGGCUAUUUUAUUUGCCUGCUCUGCAUUUUCAGGCCUCUAACAACCUUCAUUUGUGAGUCAUGGCUUUUUUUUUUUUUCCUAUAAAAUGCUUAAACCAUCCCUGGCCCUGGACAGCUGUGCCACAUUCUCUGCACAGCUGUAGCUCAUUUCCUGUUUCCAUUUCAGAUAAACUUGCGCACAUCUUUCACAGCUUUCACUUAUAAAAAAAAAAAAAAAACACGGACUGUCCUUCCAGGCUGCCAUCACUAUAACUUGAUAUUGGUCAGACAGGAAGAUUUGUGCGAGAUAACUACACCCUCCAGCGCUCUGCUCCCUCUGUUAUUCGAACUUGUUUUGUUUGUUUUAUUUACAAAGUGUGAAGAAUAAGUUUUAAAAAGUGUAGUUUGGAAUGAGCUCAAAAAUCAAGGGCAUGUGAUGCUUUUUUUUAAAGCUCCAUCUGACAUCCAUCAGCAUGGAAAUAUGUUUUAAUGGUCAGGCAGGCUGCAAGACAUCAGUAAGCUGUUGCCUCACUUUUCCACCCAGGGACAUAUCGAGAUAAGAAACAGUGACGGCAUGUUUCAUGUGUGUGAUGCUGACAUGUCUGUGCUGGAAUACUACGAGUAACAACCCUUCCAUUUUUGGGCCAGCAGCCUGUGUAGAACAGUGUUCUUAUUCUCCUCAGAAAACAGCCUCUCCAUUAGGAUAAACGCAUCCACUUCCAUCAUAGCUGCUCCGCUGUGAGCUGCUGGCUGCCCCAUUAGCUGACAGUAUGAUUAUGUGCACAACAAACCCAACAGUCUUCUGAUCUCCUCCGUCUGUCCAGACAUUUGGUGAUGUUUAAGAGUUUCUCCCCUGUGGUAACAGGGAGAUAGCUUUUGCACCGUGGGCACUGUAGAGUUUCUUUAUUUUCUCCCUCUGUCUGGAAUCUCAGGCCCCUGGGUCCUCCAAAGCUCUGAACAUGUCUGUACUCAGAUGUUUCAAAAGCACCAAACAGCAGAGGAAGAGGAGUAGAAGGAGGAGGAGGAAGAAGAAGGGAUAAAGGGAAGACGAAGGGAAAUGGGAGGAGGGUGAGGAAUCCUCAUAGGGACCAAGUGUACAUGUACAAGCAGACCAGGCAGAGAGGCCCAACAGGGUCUGCAGACUUGUGAUCUGAGGGCCGUUUGUGUGUCAGUCAGAUCAAAGUGUUUUGAAGAGAAGGAGAAAUCUCUUUACCUUCGCUGACUAUGGCAACCUUAUUGGCAGCUGGGUAAAGGGAGGGGGAGGAUAACAGAGAAACGCUUCAACUUGUGAUGGUUUCCAUUGUUUUGUUUCACUUCAAGUAAAAGACACAUCUGUCCUCAUUUUUUUUCCAUACUGCUUUGGGCUUGUUUUUGGUUGGUAGAAGUAAAUGUGUGCAUGUAUUGUAUUUUAAUGUCAAUAAACAUUAUUUCAGGCAUUUGGAUGCAUCAGUAUAUCAUGUUGCAUUGUAUUUGUUGGCAGUCAGAACAACGUUGAAGAUGUACCAGUGUUCGUUGUGAAGGAAGGUUUCUUUCUUAUUUUAUAUGUGCAAACAGUCUAGACUAAAACACAAAAAGGGUAAAGGGUAAGCUGGCCUAGAUUUGAUGUUCUCAGUGAAACAUAGCAGGUUUUGUAUUCUGGGAAAUGAAAGUCUAAAGGGAACAAAAUCCCCUAAUGUGGGAUCAGCUUUUAAUCUGAAGGCGAGAUGCAAAAACAAAAGACCAGCAGAUUAUGUUUUUGAUAUUAUCUUUGGACAAACUGUUGUAUAGUUUGUCAAUUAUAGUAUCUUACUCAAUAAAUAAAUGACUUAACAUUGGAUUUUGAAACACAUUGCAACCACAAAUGACAACUGUAUGAAAGAAAAACAUUUAUUAAAGCUCCUGUGAGGAACUUUUAGUCUGUGUUGACUUUGGCGCCCCCUGUGGACAAUUUGAAAACCUUCGUAUUGUUGCUGAUUUUGUCUUAUCCUUGCGAAAUUGGUGUUUAAUGACGAGAAAUCUCCUCCUGUUGUCUUGACGACAAAUACUUGCUGUAGGAAAAGAAACUAGGACUGUUUCUUCAGAGUACCCACCCCCCUCACUGCUGUUAAGGCAUUAAAAAGCACAGUAUGUCAAUCUUGUCACCACAGAGAUACAUCACCUUUGUUUGAAAUAAGAUCAUCCACCCUUUUGUCCUCACAGCUUGACCAGGAGCUGCACAUUUGCAGUCAUUUACAGAUAUGUAUACUUUGAAUACAAAUACUGCAUCAAUAUAAACUUUGUUUUCAGGAUGGGUGACAGGAGGAAAUCCCCCCUUUAAUUCAACGCCCCAUGCAGUCUAUUAAAGAACUGAUGAGUUUAUACAACAAUUAGAGUCUUUAAACCAAGGCAAAUGGUAAAGACUUUGAUUUAUAGUUCAUAUUAAAGUCAAUAAACUUGUAUGAAAGUGUAGUAGAGGCCAUCGAGGAGUACAUUAAGGCAGGGGUGGAACUGCAAAUGUAAUCAUAGGAUAUACAGUGUGGCUUUAUAAACACACAGCUGCUCCUUAACAGAGUGCCAGACAGUCCGUCAGUCAUCCUCACCCCCUCACGCUGUGAACGUGUAGUGAGCGUAUCCUUCCAUGGGCCCGGCUGUUUAAAUUAAUUAUUAGUUUUAUAGCGAACCCUGAGGCCUUGCACAGGCAGCUAAUCCCUGCAGAGGGCUAAUCCGACCCCGCGUUACAGAAAAUCAAUGCCGGUCUUUGGUGUUGGCAUGCCAUCAGGGCACAGGGACACAUGUCAGACAGGCCUCCUGAUUUUUUCAUGAGGUGUGUUUUUGAAGUGGUAGAUCCAGUGGAGGAUGCUCGAGGUACCCAGAAUUGAAAAGAAUAUCCGGAAGCGAGAAAAGGCUUGUAUGACCAAAUUUCUCUGGGGGUGUUGGGUGAUGCAAGUGUGUGGUUUUUGUGCAUUAUUUUAACUGGAAAUGGAUGAGCUCUUGGAGGAAACUCAGUCUUUCAACAACGUGUAAAUCCAGGAUGAAUUAGUGCAUAAAGAAAGAAUAAAUUGUCAGAUUCCUAAUGAACUAUAAAGUAGAUUUGAUCAAAAAAGGAGCGUGUAUGUCUGUGUUUGUCUUUUUUCCCUCUGGAUGUUAGAUAGUCCGUUAUAUUAGAAGCACCAAUGACCUUCUAGCAACCUCCGUGUUGAUGGAUGUGUGUGGUAGAUGAGUGUCCCGCAGUCAUCAAGGAUUUGAAGGGAUUUUGUCUGCAGUGACUGUCUGCAGAUCGAGCACUUUGAGUUAUGUCAUGGCCACAGUUUUCACCGAGUAUCUCUGCCAGUUGAGUCCUGCAGCAAACAUCAGGCUUGGCUUUUUUUUUUUUUUUUUUUUUGCCUGAUAAUGAAGAAAGAUAAUGGUGAAAGGAAGGGAUCGGAACAGCCAUUUAGAAAACGUCAAUUUGCGUCUUUUUAGUAAUAAAUCUUGCUUGUAUGAGCCAAGAUGAGAACAUCCUAUUUUCCCUUGGCACUGAGGCAGACAGUCUGUGUUUUGAGAUCACUUUAAUAUCUUGUCAGAUUUGAUACACUGUCAAAAAUUGAGACCAGCAUUCAUUUUCUUUUACUUUGUCAGGGUUUAAUACCAUUCAGAGGAAAUAUGAAUAUUUCUCAUUCCUCAGUCUCAUUUCAUAUUCCCAACUGUCUGUCAGUAAUUGGAGGAGAAAGAGGAAGAGGGCGAGAGAGAGAAAGAGAGAGAGAGAGAGAGAUGAUCUGACCCAGUCCCCUACUUCUUUUUUACACCUCUCAUUCUGCCUAUUAGUUUUGGAUUACCAGCUUUCUCUCUCUUUCUCCAAGACUGGCAGCUGAGGAUAAUAGCUUUCAUAAUGUGUGGCGUUUCAUUCCCGGCUCCUCUGUGUUCCUCUUUAUGAGCGAACAAAAAAUGUCGAGCCCAGUCAGUCUGUUCGUUUCCUCUGUUGGUGAGAUUAAUGAGAAGAACAGUGCUGUCUCAAGCCUUUUGUGACAGCCUUCAAAGUCCACCCCCCCCCUCCUCUCAUCCAGUACAGGAGGACUUGUGUCUGUUCGUCUGCAGGGUUCACACAGGCGGGAAGCCGUUUACACUGUGACGGUUAAUUAGGAGUCUAGGACAUGAUCAAAACUAUAUGCUGCAAUUAACCCAUCAUUUGUUGCUCAUUUUGUUCGACGCCGACAAAGUGAUCACAUAUGAUACGGUAAAACAAGUCUUUACCAGGCUGCUCACGGUCUCAGAAAGUGAUUGAAGUGUUUGAACCAACCAGCCUCAACGCAGACUGUUGUUUGAUAUAAGUCUGAUGUCCUGAAAUGUGUCCUCUGUUAAACUUCUGUGAAUCAAGUUGGAAAUGAAAUAAGGAAAUGACGCGGACUGUAACAUCUUGUGGCUUGUCAUAAGACCAUAGAAUGAGCGUUUUUCUUCUCCUUUCUUAUAUUUAGCACAAAGAUUCAUUCAAUGUUCAAAGAAUUCCUCUGGUCUAUCACUCAGUCAUUGGACACCCUAUCAAUUCAUCUAACCCCUUUCAAUACUGCUCAUUACUUUGAUAAUUCACUUUGACAAAUGGAUCUAUUCAUACAAAGAGCAGAGAUACUGUCACAUGAAGAUUUAGCUGUGCUAUUAAACCAGGGCACAUCAGGAAUGCAGGAAACUGAUGGAAAUGUUGAGAUUACACCGGCUUCUUUGUUUACUGAUUAAUUCCGUAUUGCACUUGUUAAGUCUUAAUAGUGAUUGCACAUGAGAUCUAUAAAGCUGUGUUCUGGAGAGAAACAGAUAUGAAUAAUGCAGCAUUGGAAUAACUGUGAAAAUAUAUGUAUAAUGAAGCCCAUAACCAUAAAUCUAACCACAAAUGAAGUCUCUGAAUCAAACUGAUUUCUUUGUUUGGCAUUCAUUCAUCUCCAGCAGCAGCAGCCUUUCUCCAUACCCAGCAUUUGUACAAACCUGGUGUGUAAUUUCUCUAUACCAUGUGAGUGACAGCAAGAACAGUCAAGCAAUUGACACCAUGACACUUUGAGUAUUUUCUCACUGAACAAAAAGACAUGCAGUAUUUGCACAGGUUCUCUUAUGGGUUACGCUAAGUGAAAAAAAACUCAAUAUUGACCUCAGAUAGAUGUCUCUAUUGUGAUUAAAAAAAGUGAGAAAAGAGUUUUUGUGAAAAUCAAGAUACAAGCUGGUUAGUCUGGUCCCUGUAAAUGUAUAACUAAUCGCUCUAUUAUAAUUUUAAAGCUACAGUGAGGAAUUCUCAGCUGGUUAUAAAACAGACUGACAUCAAUAUUAGUGCUUUACUGUGACCUUCACAAGCCAACAAGACCAUCUGUGACAAGUUUGAUUAUUUAUGUAUCAUGUCAAAAGCGACAGUAGAGAGAUAAAUUAGCUCUAAGCUGUCAAAUCAACCUUUUUAUGUACAUUUUCUAUCACCAAGACUUCUGAUAAGUAUUGAAAAGUAUUUCUUUCUCAUUUCCAUUUCAUUUCCUUGAAGUAAUAAUCAUCAUAAUAAUCAUUUUGCACUACAGAUGCGGUACUUCUUCUGCCUUCGUGUCUCGGUCUGAUUACAUUUCCAUGAAGAAAUGAUCAUAAAUGUUCUUCCUUGAGCUGUGUCACCACGCUGCACUCUUCGAUAGAUUCGUCUAAGUUCUCCCUACAAACAAGCGGCUGCUGGAAGAGAGUAGCUGAGGUGCGUUUAGUCUCUUUGCUAAAGAAAUAAGGCAAAACUAAAAAGAUAUUUGGUGGCUAGUGCUAUGGCUAGGACCCUAUAUAUACCAUUAUUUGUUAGGUGCUGUUCUGAGCAUUAUUUGUGGCAAUAGAGUGGCAUUUUGGUUGAGGUGUGUGGGUGGCUCCUCAGACCACUGUGUAUUGCUAUCAUGCUGUCGUUACUAAAGUUGGUAUAACUAGAGAAGCAAGCGGUCGGCAACAUUCAUCUCUCAAGGGGGUGUCUAACUUGGUGGACGGUGUGUUUGACCCUAUCUUAAUUUUACGCCGGAAUAUCCCUUUAAAUGCUUUGGUACUUUGUUAAAAACUUUUUACAAGUUCAGAACAAACCAGCUAAUAGAAAGUAGUUCCCCUUGGUCAUGGGGUGCACCACAACCAAGAUAAAUGAAGUUCCCUACAGGAGCUUUAACGUAAAGGCUAUCUGAUAACUUUAAAAAAAAAGUUACUAUUGAACUGAUCAACAAUCCUUAUAAUAUGAAUUGCCAGAGUUGCUGUAAUGGACAUUCUACUCCUCAAUGAAGACCUUUUUCACAGAACAUCUUUAGUGUGACAUUUUCUUGCUAAAAGGGAAACUUGUAAUCCAAUCCAACUAUGCCACGAGUUACUGAACAGGUAUACUUUUACAGCCUAUAAGUGUGAACACUUCCCUCCCUUUUCACUUUUAAAUUCCUUACUAACUUUCCGAUUUACUUUGGUUUUAAAGUGACAUUUCCUGUUCUGCUACAGGUCAGUAAAUCCUUCAAUUCUCUACUUAAGAAAUGCCUUUCAGAAAUAGUCUAUUAAUUUAGAUAUUAAUGCAUAUCUGUGAAAGCUGCUGAUGGCCAGAAAUGUUACCUGCUGCUCUCAACAUUUUCUUUUAAUUUGGCAGCUGACAGGUGCUGAUUAAAUUCCCUGGUUCUAUUCAUUUUCAUAAUUCUCACUAAAAUCCCAAAAGAGAACUCAAUUUUUCAGGGGCAGAGCAGAAAAAAAGCUUGUUUAAGCAUACAUUUUUUAUAACUACACAAACUUUGGGGAAAAAGUAAAAGAAGAAUUUCUAUAAAACUUUUGCUCUACACCAGCAGAAGAGCGGUAUAUUUCUUUUACACGGCUUUGAUUAAAGGUUUUGAGAGAGAGGAGACAUUUCUUUUGCUUUAUGGCUCUCUUUGCCAGCUUGGCAGCUGCACUAGCAUUUAAAUGCCCAUUAACAACCUUUUAACUGUCAAGAUCUUUUGAAAUACGGAUGUUUGCUUUCCUCACUGCUUCAGAGCCACCAAAAUUACUUUUAAUAGCGCCAGUGUUGGUAUUAAUACGCUCCUUCAUGAGCUGCAGCCGAGCCGCGUGUCAUUCCAGUGCAAAGGAGUUUGCCAAUGAUGUCUGAUUAGGAGUGCAAGGGGAGAUUAAUAGAUGUUUCUUCCCCUCAUUUGUUAUCACUCUUUUAGUGCACUGACUGACUACAGUGUGUGAUAAAUAGAGGGAAGCCUCUGCAUUUCCUGAGUGUGACACUAUCUAUCUACUCGUCAGCCCGGCUCUGUGUUGAUGCGAUGUCUCCUCUGACAGCAAAUCCAAAGUCAGCUGCCUGGUCCUGUGCAAUUUCAGCGAGCAGAAGGGAAGGUGUUUGGGAUCUGCAUUUUAAUCCCGGCCUGUUUAAUGUUUGCCCCCUGACAAUCUGGGCCAGACAUCAUUUUAAUGGUAUGUACAGUGAUAAAGCCAAUAAACUGUCAGGAUGAUUGAUAAUCUGAGCAUUAUAGCAAUAUGACUUUCCAGUUCUCCUCUGCGCUCCAAUGAUGGUUUCCAAAUUGAAUUCUUUGUGUGCGUGCGUGUGCAUGCAUGCGUGCACACUCACAUGGCAUGCAUGUGUGCGUCUGAGCUGAACCUUAGGUGAGAAGAAAACAGAAGAAAUCGUGUUAGUUUCGAGUGAAUCAGUUUUUAGUGCUUAUGCAAUACAUUACUUCUAAAAUAACAAACCAUAUCGGCUGAAUAGAUUAUCUCAGAGUUUUUGGCCCGCUCGCUGUGUUUGUCUGGAAAAAUGGAUUGGAGGGGGAACAAUUAUAAAGAAGAUUACCAUAUUUCUACCGUUAAAUAAAUGAUAUGAAAUCUAGCUUUCCUCUGGGUGUCAGAAACUGUGAAUGUAUUAGCUAGGCCUCUGAGACCGGUGUGUGUUUCAUAUCAAUGCUGGCUUAUUUUAGGCAAGAGGGGUUGAUGGGAGGCGGGGGAGAGGAUGCCGUUCACAUCUCUUGACUCAUGAACUCGUCCAAACACAGGUGGACAUUGACAUGCCGCAGAUGCUGCUGAAGCCAUCAGAUGCUACAGUUGCUUUUUGUCAUUAGGCCGUAGUCUGGAUGCUUAUAAAUAUGACAAUCUGUCAGUUUGGAAUUUGCUGGUAACGUUAUGACAGUCAUUUCCCCACUGGCGCUAUUUCCAUCCAUUUAAACAUUAACCUGUCUGUUCAUUCAGGGCUGUUCUUCAAAGCUCCAGGGUCACCUCCAGUCUUAUGGAUGAGAUCAAAUAGCUCUGUUUCAUUGAUUUAUUGCUUGCUAUUUGCAAACCAAUAGCAAUUUGGUUGGAGAUUGACAACACAUGUAGGCCUGUAGUGCAGUCAGUGUCUCAGCGGACCUAUGAAACAGCUCCUUUUAUCUGCAGCAAAGUCAGAGCAGUCCUGCCGCUGACUGGCAGUCAUAGAAAGCUCUUUGUUUUAUGUAAAUGGUGAUUGAUGACAUGUCUGGCACAGCCUGCAGUUUUUGACAAAAAGUAUUGAUGGCUGCUCUCAGUAAAGUGUUAGUCCAGGUGACAGAGCAAUCCAUUUUAAGAUGAAUGAGAGAGAGCGCGGGAGCGAGAGGCAGAGAGAGGGAAAGAGUGAAACAGGAAAGUCAUCAGCACUUUCAGGAGCAGGUUACACAUUUAUAACUCUUGUUCCAUGUUCACAGUGGAAUACAAACACGCUGCUGUUUAGAUCAUGUGACAAUUAAGGGAACGCUUAAAGCCCUAAACAUUGUUAGAGCGUUGUACUGAGGACAUAAUGUGAAUCAUUCUUUGCUUAAUUCUGUCUAUUGUUUCCUGAGGAGGUGAUCUUUUAUGCUGUCUCAUUAUGGGACUGUGAAAGGUUAAGUUAAUUUAUCAACAUGUAUGUAACUGAACAAAACAAACAGGCUGGCUAUCGAAUGCCCUAGUGGCUGUCCUUGGUACUGCAAAAACAACUAGAGUUUUAGUAUGUGGUACAUAUACUUCAUGAUCGGCUAUUUGAGACUCACAUUGUGUGAAAGCCUGCAGCACUUGUUUUUGCCUUUAACUACUUGGAGUCACAUUACACAGAUAGUUUCAAAACAAACCUGUUGCUGCUUAGCUCAACUCUCAUGACUUCUAGUGUGAUAUCUCCAUCUCAUCUCUUCUUUUUAGAGAUGAUGUAGAGAUCUUCUUUACAUUUAAAAGAUCAGUGAAGAGUUGACUGUAAAGAUAGUCAACAGUUGCAGCUCUUGUGGAGAGCAAAAGCAAGUGGAAAACAACCCACUGCAAGCCAAUCAGCAUCUAGAUAUCUUGAUUACUUUGAAUGCAUCAGAAAUCAUCAGUGCAACAUCCAGUCAACAAAUAAAUGAUGUGUUGAGUUCAUUUUCUGUUUCAGGUUACGGUCCUAAUACUUCUGAAUAAAAGAAAGCUUUUGGGUUAAGUCCCAGCAGUCGUAGUCUCAGUCCAACUCGUCUCCAGGGGGGAUUUCACUGGACCAUCUCACACAGGGUUCAUGACAUUAACACAGCACAUUUACAUACAAACCCAGUGGAAACUCAUUGAGGGAGUCGCAAAAAGGAGAAUCAUGAAGGAGAAGAGUGAGAUAGUGAAUAAAAAUAACUGCAGCAUUUGAGGUAAUUUUCAUAUUCAAAUGUGUGAACCACUUUGAUCUGUCUCAACAGAAUUUAUUAUUAGGAAGUCUCAAGAAAGGGUCAAACAUUUCCUUCACAAUUCACAUUUUUUUUGGUGGUUUCUUGACCAUUAACCUUUUGGUUAAUGUUCACAUCCACAAACACAAACUCAUUGCAAGUGAAACGCAAGAAAACAGGUAUUAACUACCUAACUACCGAUGAUGGACAUCUAACGGUGGUUGCCAAUUGGUACCAGUACAGCUGACCAGCUCAUUAGAAUAUAUCUGUUUGAAUCUUUACUGUUAUGGUUGCAUCUGCAUUAAAGACCUGAGUGAGAAUGUUUGGCUUACCCUAAACUUUCAGUAUAUUUAUAUUCCUGCAAAAUGUAAUACUGUAACUGGCUUUGAGGUUUUCAGAAAUAAUAACAGAUCAAUUUGGUUGAAUCUGCUCAAAGCUGAAUCAACACUUGUUUCUCGUUCUGCUUUGCAAUUCCUACACUGAUGCUGUUAUGCUGUUAGCUAAAAUAGCCUGCUGAAAACAUACUCCAUGUAUGUAGUUAUGAAAAAGCUCUCAUGUCCUGUCAGAGUAUACCUGUCCAUCAGAUUAGGCUCAUUUAGUGCCUGUGGGAGUCCGAGCGGGGAUUUGUUUGAGUUGGAUAAUGGGUCCAUGAUCCGCAGGGGAAACCCACUCCCCUGUACUCUAUCUCCUCUCUGACUUCGGGAUGAUGAAUGUGAAUUUACAUUUGCUCUAUAUGCUUUUACACUCCACAGCAGUGUGAUUUCCCUAAUGGAGCCACUACUAGAGUGAAGUUUACUUUUGGAUCUGUGUUUGUAGGAAUGUUCAGAGGACGAGCCAGCGAGGAGCUGCAGCUAAAAAAAACAUAAUCCUGCAAAUGUGAAGAAAAACGAAACCCAAAAGUUGUCUAAAAAUGAACCUGGUGCUGAUGCUUGUCAGACAGAACCAGAUUUAAGAGAUGCUUCAAGGGGACCUUAACCCAUGAAAUCACGCUGUCCUGCAUCCAGAGCCCCACCCUCUAACUGCUGUAUAAAUAGAUUCUCGUGACAGGGUAAUUCAUCUCUGGCCAUGAAAACAUCAGCUUUAAAAGACAGCUCGCUGAGACCCCGCGCUUGUUAGGGGCCAGAUCAGCAGCCCAGAUGCCUGGGAUGUAAACUCAUGAAGAGAAGAUUAAUUUAUCUGUCAUCCCUGACUUUGACAGUUGUUGUAAAUUUGACUCUGGCCUCAGCACACGGAAGGGAAGAAGAAGGAGGGGCCGGGUGGGGGGAGAAAGGAGAGACGAGUAAAAGAUAUAGAGAGAGGAGUGUGAAGAGGGAGAACGGCUUUAACGAGGGAGGGGUGAGGUAGGGGUGAGUGUGUGUGUCAAAAAUUUCAAACAUACAUUAUUGACAAGAGGACUCACUUACUCACUGCCGGUGUGCACCUGGACUCCAUCUACAGCCCUCCUCUACAGAUGAUGUGUUCGGAAACCUACUUGGCUGUGAUUUUAGCUUACCUCUCAGGCCCCCUUCUUCCUAAAAAGAAAAAAAAAACAACAACCAUAACAUCCUUUAUCCGCACAAGUUUUUUCUCAACUUCUCAUUUCAAGAUGGUGGCCACAUAAGGCACGCUGGAAAAUGAGUAGUGGUGGUGUCAGGGAAGCCAUUUGGGGUCUGAUUGAUGGUAGCAGGCGAAACCACAGCGGCCAUGUUCUGUGAUCUCCGAUGUGCAAGCCGUGCCUGGCGUUCUCUGAGAAAUAAGAGACGUUUUUUUUUUUUUGAGUUAAUGCUACUGCCAGACGUAUUGCGUUAGAUUUCCCUUCAUAUCUGUGUCAGAGUUUCAGAAAAUAGAUGAUGAAUUAGGAUGUGUGGAAUGGUUAUCAUUUAAGAAGGAGAUGAGCUGGCUUGGAAGAAAAAUGGAGAGCUAUUAUCAACCUUAGUUACUCAGGCUCAGAUGCCUGUAGAUAAAGGUUGAUAAUAGCUAAGCUGAUAAAGACCAACAUUGAUACGCUGCAAUUUAAUACAAAAAGAUACGAUACGAUACAAUACGAUAUGACGCAAUACGAUAUGAAAUGAUAUUAUACAAUAUAAUACAAUAUGAUAUGAUGCAAAAUGAUACGAUACAAUAUGACACAAUAUGAUACGAUAUGAUUAAAUAUGAUACGAUGCAGUAUGAUGUGACGAAAUACGAUAUGAUACAAUAUUAUACAAUAUAAUACAAGAUGAUAUGAUGCAAAAUGAUAUGAUACAAAACAAUACAAUAUGAUGCAAUACUAUAUGAUAUGAAACGAUAUGAUACCAUAUGAUAUGAUGCAAUAUGAUACGAUACAAUAUGAUAUGAGGCAAUAUAAUUAAAUAUGAUAUGAUGUAAUGCAAUAUGAUACGAUUUGAUACGACAUGAUACAAAAUAAUAUGAUGAAAUAGGAUAAGAUAUGGUGCAAUAUGAUAUGAUACGAUAUUAUCCAAUAUGAUACGAUACGAUAUGAUUCAAUACAAUAUGAUGUAAUGCAAUAUGGUACAAUAUGAUGUGAUAUGAUGCAAUAUGAUACAAUAUGAUGUGAUACAAUAUGAUACAACACAUUAUGAUAUGAUAGGAAAUGAUACAAUAUGAUAAAACAAUAUGAUGCAAAAUAAUAUGAUACAAUAUGAUCUAAUAUGAUAGGAUACGAUAUGAUACAAUAUCAUACAAUAUGAUAUGACAAGCUAUGAUAUGAAACAGUAUUAUAGGAUACAAUAUGAUGCUCUUUUCUUGUUUUACUCACUCAGAACUUUUUUUUGUCAAAAAGUGAUUCUUAAGCUCAAAGUCCACAACUUGGGAAGGUCAAACAGAGACAUAAGGACCACACAAAACAAAGAAAUACCUGACAAACUUAAGUCUCUAUGAAACACGCAUGCUAACUCUCACCUUUUAGGUAGUUUGUGUGAAAGAUGAACAUUUGUCCUAGCUAACAAAGAUAUCUUGGCCUCUCUCAGUAUCAGUACUUUUGUAAAGUCCUGUGAGCAAGGAAUUUAUUUUCCAAGCAGCAAAAAUCAAAGCCAGUUAGAUAAUAAAAGUAAAAGUAACACUGAAAGACAGAGCUCACUGUGUUAGUUUAGGCUGAAGAACAAUGCUGCUGUUAAUAUCAUAAUAAUGAAAGGUCACUGCCUGAGUCUGAAGAGUUUGCAGACACUAAGCAGAGUGUGCAGAAAAUAAAAGCAAACCCAGCCAAGUAGAUCACAGCUUGAAGUCUGGUCCACCAACCAGUUCAAAAGACCCUUUAACUUAUUUAAUUUAAUAUUUUGGCAACCUUAGAUUAACAAACGUCUUUUUUUGUGAGUCUUAAACUUUUGGGUCUAAAGAGUAUCAGACUUGGGAUACAGCCAUACAUACAAUACUGAUGCUGUCACUGAGGAGCCUCUCUGGCGCUGUGGUUGGCGUAGGAAUCAUAACUCUCCCAUUGGCUCCUUUUGACCCCUUUCUCUUUCUGUAGGCCCGCUGUAAAUGUCAGCCCAUUUGUGCCAAUACUUCCACGCCAGAAGUAAUUUAGAUUUUUCUAUUAUGCACGUGGAUAUGCAUAUUUUGGUUUUCCCAAAUCUCCUGUGAAGCAGAUACUAAAAGAUAAUAGAAAGUUGAGAAAGUAGUAUAAGUCUGUUUUAUUAAAUGUAUGAGCUGUAAGGGAAACCGCAGUUAUACACCACAGUAAAACCAAAAAACAUGCAGUAAAGCAGAAACUGUAUUUCUAUGACCCAUCUUUUAACAAAGCGAACAUUUCCAAUGCGUUUCCUCUGAGCCUUCACCUUUAAAUAGUCCAGCUCUUGAUUGGAUUUGCUGUGCAUCUGAUCACUUCAUACACGGCGUCGCUAGCAUUAAAGCAAAUCAGUGAAAUUUGUAUAAGUUAUCAACACCUCCUUCUAUGUCUGAUUGGACCUAGGGGAAGUGACAAAUAUAGCCCAGGAGAUCUCCAGCUUUUAUUGUGGAUUAGCAUGCUAAUAGGCUUUCGACUCGAUUUGACAGACCCAGCUUCCCCCUGGAGAGGGACAGCCUCGAGCCAGGGAGAGGGGGUCUGUGUGGGGCUAAGCAGGGGGAAAAAGAGGGGGCGAGAAAAGGGAAAGCGGGUUAAGAUAGGGGUGUACUGCAGGGUGAAAGUGAGGGGUGGGGGGGUGUUUGGAGGAGUGUGGAAGAUAUUACCAAUUAGCAUGUGGGGGGAAAAAGGUUCUGACAGGAGAGGUAACCCAGUCAUGAUAAAUAUGGUGACUUAACAGACUCUCCUCCUUCUCUUUUGUCUGUCAAGCCCCACAGCUGUGGACUUAAGAACUCCUUUCACCUUAGAGGAAAUCAAAAGAUAAUCCCGAGUUUGAUGUUUGGAGUAACUUUUGAGUCAGAGGGGAAAAGGGGUCACCGGUGUAUAGGGUGAUGGGUUUAAGCUGUAAACCCUUGACAAAAGGUUGUGACUGAGUGAGUUCCUCCAGAUCUCUCCCAGUGUGUUUGGAAAGUUCUGAGCACCUUCUCUGUGCGUGACUAAACCCACCUAAGAAUAGAGAGAUAAGGCUCUAAAGCAAAAGUUUAAUUUGCCUAUGAAAACAAUUAUUUGGUAUCAAUCAAAGAGGGAGAAUAGAAUCUUCUAACCUGUUGUGUGUUUGUCCCUGUGAUGAUUUUAACAGCUUCCUCAGUUUGAGGGACACGUCUUUUAUAGUUUUGUCAGUCUGGAGGAUUGUUGGUAUUUUUUGGAAUUCGGCAUCUUAUUCUGAAAGGAGGUUGAAAUUGAAUGAAGAUUUGUCUGCACAUGCAGUUCAAACACUUGACUCAGCUAAUUUUCUUCUUGUGCGUAGAGAGUUGUUUUGAGACUAAAGUGGGAGACUUUAAAGUGGGGCAUCACUUUGCACUGGGGUGCAAAAUAGGAAAAAAUAUAUGUAUAGCACACUUUCUGCCCCCAAAUGAAAUAAGUACACUUUUUCAAUGACAGCUAAUCUAUUCGGGUUGGGGGAAAAAUUUGAUUCACAUAAGUAUCGCAAUAUUUUGUUUUACAAUUUUAAAUCGAUUUUUUUUUUUUAAUUUGAGAAAAAAUCUUAAAAAACUGACUUAGAUGUGAUAUGCAUUUUUUGGGGAGAUAUGGUUCCUGGAAUAGUCAGUAGACAAUCAUUAUCAUUCAGCUGUUUUACUGGUGUUAAAAAUGCAGACUAAAAAAUUUUGAAAAUCGUCAAUAUCGUAGAAUCGCAAUUUAAAUCGAAUCGGCAUCAAAAAAAUCGUAGAAGAAUUGAAUCGGGAGAAAAGCACAUCGUCCCAGCCCGAUAAUCUAUGCAUCAAAUUAAGGAAAAUAAGAAUUUUUCAAGUGUAUUUCACGAUAUUUUUUGAAACAUUAUUAGCCAGGUGGUGUACCAUGAUUGCAUCAGUUUUCUCUAUCCGUCAUUGAAAAUUAGAGAGAUAUGGUGUUUUGGUUGUGCAACAUUGCUGAUACCGAUGUCUGAAGUGAUGCUGGACUCAGAUUUUAGCUGGCUGUUCCUGAUGUUAAACUAUUGUUUCUCCUGAUUGCUCCUUGGUGUUUUCAGCUUUCCACUCUCAAUCACACGUUUAGGGAGUUACUAUCCGUUAAAGAAAUGCUUGAUUUGAUAUGCAACAGAUCUUUUUAUUGGCAGGGUACAGAUUUUAAACUUAUGUAUUUAAGCAGAGGCCAAAAGUGUGAUUAUUGCCUUUAAAAAUGACCUAAACAAGAACUUUGUUACAAACUUCAGUGAUCAAUUUCCUAUUAAUAAGUCAUUGAUGAGGGACUCUAGUCAAGCAGAGCUGGUAGAACAUACAGUCCACCCUAUAUACACAGGCUGCACUCCUUGACACAUUGGCCCCAGGUUCAACUCCCUCCCUGAGCUCUUGAUGUGUGUCCAUUCCCCUCACUCCUGUCUGUAUAUCUCCAUUUAGCUGUCGUUAUGCGCAAAAUGGUCAAAAUAGAUUAUCAUAAAGAGACAAAUAUAUUAUAGUAUGGUUAUAGUAUGGUGCCUGUGACAUCGAACUCUAACUGUAGUCAAAGAGGAACCAGCUUUUUUAUAUGUUCCAGGAUACAGAUGCAAAAGUCAUCAGCCCAAUUUCAUCAAAGAAAAGCAAAUAAAAAAAACUGGACUAGCUCUCGAUACCCCUGCGUUCCAAGGACAAAGCUGCAGUCUAUUAUCUGUCUGUGUGAGAAGAUAAUACCUGAGCUGAUGAUGCCUGCUGACCUUGAGCAGCUUAGAUGACAAUAACCUCGCUAUCAUCCCUUGAACCCCAGCUGGGCGCACGCGUGUACACUUCCACACCCACUUAUAAACACACAAACACACACACACGCACACACACAUGUGCCAUAUUUUACUCCCAUAAACCCGUACAGCUGAUGAUGACCUUUCCUCUCUUCCCUGACAGUCUCAUGCAACUGGCGACUGCAGUAUUACUUUAGAGCACAUUUGCUUACCAUAAGAAUGUAAUUUUCAGCGAUAAGGUCCUGGAACUUGGCAGAAGCUGUGUGGGGGGGUCUGUCGUUUUGUGCCAGAUCUUCAGUCGUGGAUGAUCCAGGGGCUCGCCCUGGGGGACAGCUCAGGGCUGAGUGGGCCAAAGUAAUGUCAUCCUGUGGAAAAAUGAUUAAUCUCCCCGCUGCCUGUCCUUUAUUCCACGAGGAAGGAAGGAUGCACAACAAAAUGUAACAAAUAAGUGGCUCAUUGGUGCGUAUGUAAAUUUCAUUAUAUCACAUUAGGCUGUUGCUAAAUUGCCUCAUCAUUAUGAUUUAGGGUUAAUUUAAAACUGCAACAAGGGGGAUAAACAUAUGAUAAAUAUUUAAAUUUGUACAAUUGGGUUGCAGUGAUUUUUUUCAGUGGUCAGAGAAUGGUUACCAUGGAAAGGUUCAGCUGGGCACAGGGGAUCUCUGCACCCUCUGAGGGGGACGUGUGCAGUGCACAUAAAGUACCCAGGGUGAAAAUCAGAGCCGAGAGCCUCACCAUAAAUACUCGGGUCAGAGCUGUCAGCCAGAACACUUCUCUCCAUGGUCUGCCUUCUCUUUUUAGUUUUAAUCCACUCAUCAUGGAGUGAGUGAGACAGAGAAACAGAUACAGGCCGAGACAGCGCGGUGUAGUACAGUUACAGAUUGGAAAGAGCGGGGAAAGUAGGAGAAAAACAUACUGUGAAGAGUGUGUGAAUCCAUAAUAGCACCACUUAAUGACACAAACUAUCUCCCCUUGCUGUCGGAGAGAGGCUAGGCUUCCUCGGAGCCUCAGAGGGCCCUCUGUUACAAAACAGAAGACAGUAGGGCUUUGACAGCUCCAAGUGUCUAGGGCCAGGGAAAUAAUUGAUAGCAGGCUGCCUGCAUCCAAGGUCCUUUAGCAGUAAUUGCAAGCAGAAUCUGACUCUCUGAUCUCACCAGUGGUAUUGGCUAUGCCAGAACAGCCUGGCUUUGACAGAUUGCCUUCCUGCAGUAAUAACUUAGGCAUGUUCCCUGUUUUCUCACACAAGGCCGUGCAGCGCUGUCUCCACCGCAGAACCAGCCCAGAAUCAUCAGUGAUUAUUUUAUAUGUGUAUAUUUCUUUUAGCUCUUGGCAGAUUUUUCUGACAGGACACUCUUCAAGUAAUGGUUUUGCCUGCAGCCAAUUGCCCUGUACAUUGUUUUUCACUGUGAUCCGUUUUUUUUCUCUUUCUUGGACUACAAUGAAACUCUUAAGUAUUGUCCGCGUGUUAACAUACAUUUGUAAGCAUAAAAGGGGGUUGUGUGACAAAAAAGUAUGUGUAACGGAGUUCUUUUAUUUCUAAUUGCCUCAUUAAAUCAGACUCUCAUUACCUAAAAAGGACAGUAAUAACUGUGACCAAUCAACUGUGCUCCAACAAUCUUUUAGAUACAAAAAAAAGAAUAUCCAAACACCGUUGCCAUGGUUCCCGCCCUGAAUGACAGCCUGAAGGCUUUAUGGCCUUUUGAAGGAUAGUCCUCUUUCCCCCCCUUUUCCUCCUCCUCCCCUCACCUCCUUGUCUCCUCCCUCCCCCCCUUUUCCUCACACUCUCAGUGGCACUCUUCCAUGCUCACUGUCUGCACUGUAAAGCACUCAGGGAUUUAUUGUCAGCUGGAGUUUCCUUGAUGGGGUGUAAUAAUACUGUGCCUUUCUCACCCGCUAAGGUGGUAGAAUCCCCUCCCUCUGCCGAUGAGAGGACCCCCGCGGGCUGCCCUGUUUGCGCCUGUGUUCUGUGGCAGACUUAUAAGCCUGGCAGCUCCACCCCAUGGCUGUCCAAACAAGGUUUCUCAACGGGCGCCCAAAUCAAAAAGAGCAGCGUACGGGGGCAGCAGGAAAGUGAAACGGCAGGAUGUUGCCUUUAGUUAUUUAUUUAUCUCGCUCCUCAGCAACAGAAGAAAAGAGUUAAAAGCCCGUGUGCUCCUUUUGGUGUUUAUUGUUUUGUUUUGUUCAAUGUUUUGGCAGUAAAACGCCGAAUUCUUGCUACUGCUAAUUACAGUUGAGUAGUUUUGUGUUCACGUUCCUGGAAAUCAUUUUAAGUAGGACUUAACUGAUUUCUGAAUGAAACUCAUUAAAGGAAUUGAAGUGUAAAUAGACACAAUCCCCUCGGCACCCUGCUGUAAGAACUGUGAUGCUGUGGUUUGUACUUCACUGCCAAUGUCUUCCAGUUAAUCUAAUUUAAUCUGUAAAUGGAGGCUUAAAUCAAUGCAAAUAAACAUCAGUAAAUCAGGAAAGAUAUCAAAGGCGGUAUGAAGCAGGUUUAGCUCCCCAAAUGCCUCAAACGUACUCACGGCUCAGCAGGCGAGCUGUAGGCAGCAGCUGGAUCGUAUAAAUAGAAACUCCCUUCACAAACCUGAAAUUAAUAAAAGAUCCUUUGAGUGAUCCUUGAACAUGGGAGGAUAUGAGCAGACAGUCAGCGAGGUCAGAGUGGGAUAAACUGGUCUCAGCUCCCUGCCUUUCUGUGAGAGCUCGGUGGCAAGAUAGACGGGCGCGUCAUGCUGCUUUGAAACGUCUAAACAUAGACAUUUUAGAGGUGGACGCUAUGUGAAAAUGUAAAUAAACUUUAUAGGAACCCGGGGUCAGGCCGAGGUUGGAUUUAUGGUUUUGGCAUUCACCCCCAAGCUCAUCCGUCAUCCCUUUUUUUUUUUUUUUUUGCCCUACCAAGCCCCUUCCAGUCCCAACACCUCCUACUCCAGCCAAGUCCCUCCCCCCAAACCCCCACUCCUACCACUACACACCAGAUCACAAGACCUUCAGCUGAACUACAGCCGACCUGCUGGAUCCAAGGCCAGCUGGGCUUCAGAUGCCAUAAUAAGAACCAUUCAGGGUCUUUAAUGAUUGUGUGACUAUUGGCCGGAUGUGUUUUUAUCUCUACGGUUAUCUUUAUUAUCAAUCUUUUGCUCUUAAUUUCUCCGCCGCUCUUUUCUCUGCCUUCCCUAAACAGUUUCUCUCCCCUCUCAGAUGUUUGGGGCUGCUGAGGGAAGGGAAUUUGUGCCAGAAUUAUUUGGGAGGUCUUGAGGGACAUGUCGAGUUUAGGCUGUCUUCCCGCUGGAGCGUUGUCACACCACAGUCUGUGUUCACUUAUUUAUGGCUGUGCUGCUUGUCAUGCCAUUGUUUGACAAAAUUAUCAAGACAUAACAGGACGCUUGUCAUCAACUGUGAUCUCACAAUGAAAACAUCUGACUAUUACUCUACUGCUAUUGUGAUUAGGGCAAUGAAAUCCACAAGCACUUAAAUGCUUUUGUUUAGCUAUCAGAUUUUAAAUGUAACACUACUCUUUUAAAGUCAAAACAUGCCAAAAAAUCUCGACUCGAAAAAGUGAGGAAAAUCUUAACACUUGGAAAGUGAGACGUAGAUCCUGUUAAUUUUUUCUGCACGCUUUGCAAACAUGAUUUGCAUUUUGCAUGAUAAAUGUUCAGAGUUAUCCACUUGUAGACAUUUAAUGUAGGCGCUAAAUGUUCAUUUUAUAAUGCACAUGAUUUGAAUUUUAAGUUCUGCACUCAUAGUUGAGAAUAACUUCAUUUUGUGAUGUUACAUAUCUGAAAUUUAAAAAGAAAUGAAGUUAUCGAAUGAAAGCAAACACUGAUUAUUUGUCUUGUUGAAGUUUAAUGAGGGAUAAACAGCAAUCCCAUCCAGCUUUACACAUUACCCUUCAUUCAACAAGACUUACCAGAAACAAAUCCUCUGAUGAUUUACAGCAGCGGCUCCUGUUAUGCCAGGCGAACAAUCCUGCGGUACGUUUUUCACUAGCAGAGUUUGUGCUCUUGUCCCAGCGUCAGAAUACGAGAGGACACCUGCCUAAAAUGACUGAGGCUCAGCUGGGAACCGCUUUGAUCUGUGUGACAGUUUGACUGCCUCGAUGGGAGUGGCACUGAUAAUCCCUUUGCUUAACUCGUGCUUUUUGGCCCAGCCGGGGUCCUGUCCAGGGAUAAAGCAGUGGGCUAAGUCUUAAUCAAACAGCAGGGUCGGUGGCUGCAUGAAGGGAAGGGUCUUUGAGGGUUAGAGUGCGGAAGGGCACAUUUAGGACAGGGAUGAAUACACACAAAUGGAGGAUUAGAGUGUUUUGCCUACUUGCAAAUAGGUGAGCUUUAGCAGGCAGUUGGAGAAGAGUUGAAAGAAAAAGUCAUUGAGUCUAGAAAAGCUGGGUGUUGUUCUCUCUCAAACAGACCGGAGCUCUCAAAGCCUCUUUAAAAACAACUCCGCAUGUGCCUCAAAUGCUGCAAUGAAACCAGGAUGUUAGUGAAAAAGUCCAAAACAGAAGUGAAGUUCUUUUGGGGGUAUACAGACUAGUAACUUGACAGGUAGAGCAACAAAAACAGCAUGGCAGGGGUGAAGGAGGGGUGGGACUAUAAUAUCAUUUUGACUCAUGUGGUACAGUUUUAGCAACAGGUCCAAAAUAUCAAUGUCUAGAUUUAAAACUCGUAAGGCCGCCUUUCAGUGAUCCUCAUAACAUUAAUCUUGUUUAUGUUAAUGUUUCAUUAUAAUUGUGUCGCAGUUUAUCAGUUAUAAUCCUUGUAUCGACAUAGUGAUAUCAUUGGGCAUAUGCGGAAUAUCGAACCAGUCCAUACUGUACCAUUCCAGUUCAUCGUGUGCCUGUUAAGUGCCAUUUGGAUCAGUGCAUUAUAUUGUAUCGCAUCGUAUCAUUUUAUAUAGUAUCUUUUUAAAUCUUAUUGCAUUUUGUGUCUAUUGAUAGACUGUAUCAUACUGUAUUGGACAGGACCUCAAGGCAAGGCUAGCUUUUUAAUACAGAAACUUUUGGCAGAAGUACCAAACCAUAUCAUUUUGUGUGGUUGAUAGUUACUUAUUCCCUUAUUUUUUAAGUCAAGUUUUGUUCUGUUUGAAACUGUUUUAUUCCACAUUGUUUCACUUCAUUUCCAUUCGCGUCCAUCACAUCUAAUGAUACCUGAUCAUAACAUACAUAUGAAAUAUAUUCUAUUGCGUCAGAUUUUAUCAUAUAGUAUUGUAACAUGACAUAUCUUAUUGUAUGCCAUUGAACUGCACCAUGUUGCAUCAUACCAAAUUGCAUGAUAUUACAUUUUAUAUCGUAUCAUAUCAUAUCGUAACCUAUUCAUCCAUCUGCACUCUGGUUGUUUGACAUGAAAGCAAAGAAGAUGAAUAUGAAUAUGUGGAAGUAGUAAUAAGGUAGAAUCAAAUAACGUAGAUGAGAAAUUAUAUAAGAAUAAAAAAUUCAAAACUCAUCAGUAAUCACUAUACAGGAUUCUUUAUUCAUCUACAGCACGUUAGAUUUCACCAAAACACCAAAACUCUUAAACCACUGAAUUCAGCUGAUUUGAGAACAUCUGUUGUCUGAGUUUAAUUAUCUUCUAAGUCUUUCUUGUAAAACAAACAGUGCACCCAGCAUGCUUUGCCGUUUCAGCCUGGUCCUGGCCAUUAUUGCCUUUAGCUAUCUGACUCUAGCCACAGCCCAAAGAUACACACAUCAAAAGAAAGUGUCAGCAGUGUCAGGUAUGUGAUUCCUGUUUAACAGUGGGGGCAUGCAGAGCUCAGCAUGGGUGAACUGUAGCACAGAGACCUGAUGACCUCUUGGCUGUUAUCACCUGAUCUGCUUCUCAUUGUUCCUUAAAGAGAGGCCAAACACCGGCAGAGAUGAGCAUGUUUGUCUGCAGUUGUUAGAUCACAGGACUCGGGAUUACAGAUCUUAAUGGACUGUUGAUUGAAAGCAUGAGAGCACAAAACACUGAGCAAUAUGGCUGCAGAUGGAAAUCCUCUCAUCUGGAGAAUGAGUUUUACUUUUAGUGACAACUAAAAAUGUCUUUUUUAAUCCAAAAUCAAAGCCUCUUGGUGUUACAUACAAAAUUAAAGAUGAAUGACUCGUAGAUUAUAAUUAUCACAGCUCUUUGUAACAGCUUUAAAAAACUAGUUAGCAUACAUAUACAAAGAGCGGCCAUCAUAGUGUGUUUACAGGUGCAAAAAAAACUGGCUGUAAAUUCCCAGCCAGGACAGACAAACCAUCAUCCCUGUAGAAAUGAGAGAGACAACUCAUUUAGAAUUAUAAACCCUUUUCUCUGUUUGUCACUUCUAUUGAUUUUUCUUCUGCCCCCGUCUCUCAUAGUUUAUAUCUUGCUAUAAGAUAUACUCCUGAAGAGGAUUUAUUGCAGCUAUAGGCCUUGCCCGCCAGGUCUGCCAUUACCAACAGAUGAAAGGCGAGGGGGGGGCGGUUCAAAGGAGGGAGGCAGGGGGCAGUACAGCAGUGCAGUAUUGGAUAUUGUUUAAAUACCGUAAAAAGAGCCUGCUCAUUUACCCGGUCAGAGGUUUGAGAAGCAGACUGUUGUGAUAAUCCUGUGAGUAGCAGGUGGCGAUGCUUUAAUGUGGGUGUAAAAACAAAAUUGCACUUUUUCCAUUUUCAUUCCAGUCGUUAUAAUCUCUAAAUGAGACGAUCGAUCGCCUGUUGGCAAGAAAAUAGUUCCACUGUUUUUUAUUCAAAGUGGACCUGAGGAGAGGAUGAUGGUGUACUUGCAGGAAAGAGGAAAAAAAUAAGCCAUAUUGUCUUUUUUUUGUUUUUGUUACUCUCUAUCUCCUGUUUUUUUUUUUUUCCCUCUCCGACUGGCCUGUCAGGUGUGAGGAAGAGGAGGAGGAGGAGGAGGAGGAGGAAGCAGGCCUUUUUUCUUCUUCCCCCACCACUUCCGAAUUACCUGCUGGGUCCGAGCUCUUUUAUGCUCUUGUUGUGACAGGUAGAUUUAUAAGGCUUGAAAUUUGUACAAAUCAGUUGUCAUUCAGCGGCAGCUGUCAAUGUGUCAAGCUGUCAGGGCCUGCUGUGAGGGAGAUGCCUUAGGGGGCUGAGCGAGGGGGCAACCGCCCAGAAAAGAAAAUGAGUUCAAACAGACCUGAGAAGCUCCUCUAUUCCACCGGCCUCCCUGCCCCUGUGGAGACACCAUCGAUUUCUCUUGAUGUUGAGCAACAGCGCGCCCAAAAAUGACACGCCACACCGCGCUCAACCCAGUCGGGCUGCGACACGCCAACGCGUGCUGUGCCAAUCCUCUCAAUCUGCAGAUGCUUCUCAUUCUCCACUAAAUGGCUAGAAAUGUGUGAUCUCUCAGAGGAGGGAGAACACCAGAGUCGUGUUUAGAGCUUGUUGGCGAUGGCUGUCGUGUUUUUCAUGUGCCGCUUAAGUAGCUGAAAUGAAAAUCUCUCUAAGGAGAAUGACAAGCGUGUUUAAAGAUUGCUGUCGAUUGUUGUCUUGUUUGCUUGUUUUCUCUGGCCUUGUCUCAGCGUGGGCCUGCCUGUCUGUGAUUGGCGGGCCUGCUGGGGCAGUGAUGGGCAUGACAGCCUCUCUCAGUCAGAGGACCCCAGGUGACACACACCUUCUCUAUCCUCUUUCCUUGCACGCGGACUUCACAGAGGAAUGGGAGAGACAGGUGCUGCAACCAGUGUGAGGUGUGUGGAAACAAAAGACAACAGCUGACAGAGAAGCUGUGCCAUCCGGCGCCGAACACGCCGAGGUGUGGGAUGACACAAAUAUGCUCAUAUUUCUCUCAUGCACAUGUCAUUGCCGUGUUAUUGGUGCUGUUGUCACAUUCAGUCUGUGGCAGCAGAUGGGGGAGGGCUGGUUGGUAUUGAUAACACAUUAUUAUCACAUGUGGCUCGUCUGUUCUUUCAGCUUUAUAAUCAUUACAUUAUGAUUAAAAGUAGCUGUGUGAAAAAUCUAACAGAAAUUAGAUGCAAAGAAAUAUCCAUAGAAAUAAUUUGGAUUCUUUAUGUAAUAUUGAUUUAAAGUUCUUGAGAUGACUCGCUCCAUGUGUUUGUUUUUAAAACCAUAUUUUUUUAACUCUAAGUUCGAGCGAAGCCGUUGUUUGCACUGACUGUAUCUGUCACAACUGUUAUCAGCUUUUUCCAAGUUGUGAAACAGUACAUGAUGUUGAUAUCCAAGAUUUUUGCCACCUCUCCCCUCUAAUUAAAUGACAACAACAGUGAAACAAGCUCUCCGUGGAUCUGAUCCGUCCGCAUCCAGGUGUGUUGGCCAAGUUUGUUUUCACACCUUCAUGCCUGUGUUUGUUAUGUAUCGCAGCCAAACCCUCCUCCCCCUGAGACAAACCGAGUAUGGCCUGUAACAGAGUCAAAGGUUGGACCAACUGGAGGCUAAGAAUGAACACGGGGGAAGUGAUUUGAAUUCUGCUCCAGAGCUUGUUAAUUUGAAAGCUGAGGUCUCAAUUCCUUGACAUAGCAUGCUGCUGCUAUGCUAACCUGGCUGCGGUCCAAACCCUCCGCCUAAACAUGUGUGCACACAGGCACGGACGUGGACAUGCAUCAGGCCUGCAUGGCUACACUGUAAUUACCCUGAUGAGGUUUUUGGGGAGGGGAGUGUGGGGGGGGUCCUUCUUCCAGAUUGAUCAUCUCCACCUGGCAACACAGGGUCCCUGAAAGAAAGAGGUUUCAUGGGACACUCUUUGGAAGGUGACACUCGCUCAGCAGCUCUGCAACAAGGGGUGAAAUAUUAAUCAAAGUUUUCCAUGCAGCUAUUAACAGCUGCUGGCCUUGGCCUCCGUGCGUGUCUGUCCAUGUAUGCAUGCAUGUGUGUGUGUUUAUUAUGUGGCAAUGAGCAGCAAGUUAGUCCGCAGAGAGAUGAGUGUGACGCGUCUGAGUUUGUCUUGUAAAAAUGCAGCUGUCCAGGACAUGACAGCUACAGCGUUAGAGGGGCCAUUAUGGGGUGUAGAACAUUUCCUGGGAAAUGGCUUGAAAAAUGACAAUGCAGCCUGUGCAAUAUUAAUUGCUACACAGUCCCCAUAAAUAAGUCAAAAAGCUUUAAGAGAGGAACAAAGUGGAACAGUGCUGGUUAUCCAUUGAUCAUAAAACAAGGGAACAACGUUAAAUCUUAUGCACCAUUAUUUUUAUGAUGUUCUUUUCUUAGUAAUUAGAUUUUAGAUGCAGUUUUAUGUUCGGGCUGUGGCAUUAUAAUUCAUCCUCCCUCCCGUGGGUUAUUGUUUUUUAUUAUGAAAAGCGGUGACUGUUGGAGGAUUUUAGUAACACAUUGACACAAGUCGCUGAAUGACUCCUUUUGUCCUCUUCAACCUUUUGUGACUCUUACUUGUUAAAUGUGGGAUAUUUGUGCUUCAAAGGGGCCCGCCUUUGGUUUGCAAAUGAAAUCUGGGAUGAGAUCAGGACUUCCAUUUAGUUGCAAAUCAACAGCUCAUUGUUGGGAAGCUGUCGGCGCAUGUUUGUUGCGAAAUGUUUUCACGUAAUGAAUAGCUAACACGUGUCGUCAGUCAACAAGGAAAGGCUAGUUAAAGGACCCUAUGAUGGUUCUUUAUUUGUGAUCACAAACCUGAGAUCAUAAAACACUACAAUGAAGGUAAUAAAGGGAGUCAUGCAACUGGAGUUUAUAUGUCUGUCUUUGCAGUUAAAACGUGAAAGUUGGUUCAGUAACCUUAAGACUUCAUUUUAUUCCAUUACUUUUUAUUAGUCUUAUUAGAUGCUUAGAACACAAACAAAACUUUCCUGUUGCUUUGGGAUCCAAGAGAUGAAUGUAAACACACGUUUAAUAAAGCGGUCUUAGAUAGGUUAAUGUGCCUCUUUCUGAAUUAAAGUUAAAAUGAAUAAGAAGAACUGCAGCAGCUGAACAGGUUAUUGUUUUCACGUCUUGUUCCUCGGUGAGCUUUUGUCUGAUUCAGUAAGGGGCAUAUGUUGUUUAAUAGGAAAUUAAUUCUCACCCCCGCCGCCGCCUCUCCCCCUCGGUAAAUCAGGCAUGUAAACCAAAAACCUGAACACGGUGACUAAUUAGAAUCAAAAGGGCCGGAAUCCAUAAUGGCCCUCCUUCACUCAAAACACUACUCUAUAAUUGGCCAUAAAUAAACCCUUGCUGUUUUUGUGUGAGCUGUAAACAGCUGAAUGCUUCAAUUAAGCAGAAAUACACCCGCGCCAUGUUAAAUGCAGGGCGCUGGGGAGCCGCUGACAUAUGGAUAUGAUCUGUGCUCUCCCCCCCUCUGCUCCAAUUCAAGCCUUUUUUUUUUUAGCAUGCGUGAGAAGCACAGAUAAUUUCGUUUUUGCCGGUGUAAUAUUAUAGUGAGUCAUAAAUAGAUGGUUACCCUUUCGGUACUAAAAGUUUUCAUUAAACACGCCUGGAUUUUGUUAUUGACACCGCGGGUUGCCUAUGCAGGGAAACACAGUAAAAUUUAUCAGUGCGCUUUUCCUCACCUAAUAAAUCAUCCAAACAGGGCCGACCAUAUGGCAGAUAAGACCUUGGAAAUGUGGCUUCGGCAUGCGAAGAGUCAAGUUGCUUGAAAUCAGGAACGAUCACGGACUCCUCUCUCCCCCCUCUCUCUCCCUCUCCCUCUCUUUCUCUCUUCCUCUCUCACAGAAUAUCUCCCAGUUAUUUUACACGCCAUUUUCUUGUUCACCUUAUCACCUCUUUGUCACUUGUUUUUUUCACUUUCCCCCAAGAAGAAAGAGAGAGGCAAUUCCUGUGUGUAAAGGAGUGGGAGUAGAUAACUCUCUCUCCUCUUCCUCCUUCUCUCUGUCUCUCCCCCUCUUACUCUCACUUCCACCCCUCCUCCUCCUCCUCCUCCUCCUCUUUUUUCUCCUUCUCCUCUCUCCCCCCCUUCUGCCGAGAGGGUCCUGGGAGGUGCACUGACUGAUGGGAGAGGAUGAUAUAUGUAGCGUCUGUGUCCCGGCUCUCCUCUGGCCCUUUGUCAUUAAUCAUAGCCAUUAGCUUUUCUCACUGCAGCCUUGUCUGUGCACUGCAAUGAAAAAGCAGCCUUUUCUCCCGUAUCCCACACCAAGAGAGCGCGCUAAUACCUCUACCUCACUGUCACGCAGCUGCAUUUUCAGCUCGCGACAAACAGACAACUAUUGUAAUGUGGAGAAUGGAUAUCGUAUCCAAAAUGUGAUUCUUCACCUAGCGGGACAGGGGGGGAAUAUGGGAGGACAUAUUGAGUGGCUGUUAGGUAGAAUUGAUCUUCAAUAUUGAUUCUUGCAGAUAUACUUUCUGCUUGUUGUGCUUUUUGUUCUUUCUUCCUCUGCUUUUAUCGCAGGUUUUUCUCAUAAACCGACUCUUAAAAUCUGCAAACAACGCUCUUAAAAUGUGGCUACAUCUGUUUUGGACCGGUUUGAACUGGACCACAAUGGACUUGGCUCCGUGCAAGGCUGUGGAGAGAGUGGGUUUGGACGGCGAGCGUGUGAGCUAAUGAGAAUAAACAGCUGGCCACUGUGGUGACCAUCUAGUGUAAUAGAGAUGUAUGGCCACCGGCUCCUGCACGCCUACUCCUCCAAUCCCCAAACUGUGCCUGACAGAUAUACUAAAGCCUCAUCAGUCUAGUCCCAGUCACACCAAAAAAACACAAGCACACACACUUUCCACACACACACACACACACACACUUUUCCACACGCUUCAUGCGGGGACAUUUACAUGCACACAGGCCUGAGCUAACAACUAAAACAGCACUGGUGCAGUUGCAGUCCACAUAUCCAGUUGUCCAAACGCACACACACACACACACAGAGGCACACAGCCAGCACUUUCCACAUUAGAGACUCAACCCUCUUUUUCUCAUUUCCCUAACUGUAUCAUCCAUACUGUACCUAAUGAAAUGAUUGCAAGUAGUUAUUGCUGACUUAUUAUCUAGACACACAGCUUUAUCAAAAUGCUGCAUUGAUUUAGUGGACUGUGUCGCCGGGAAAACUCCAGGGAUAUUUCAUUUGCCUGGCUACGCCAUAAUAAUGGGACCCAUCCCUGUAUGCAUUAUGCAUAGAUAGACCAUAGAUAAUUCAAACAGGAGGAACACAUGCAUUACCUCCACGCUGUAACCUCCCAGUCUCAUACUGUCUAUUAUAUUAGGUUGUGCUGUUGUUUGUUUUGUGCUGCACCGGGAUCCCAUUACGCUGAAAUGAUAAGAACCUACAGUGCAGCCGGCUACACGCGCAAAUUUGUGUCAUAGUUUUCAGCUUUGAUAAAUCCCAAACACCUUAUUCAGCAGGUAUUUGUGCUUCCUCUCAUUUGACGCUGUUUUGUCCUCACAAAGACAGAGCUAGCUCCAGGUGGCUCCGAGCCUCCCCCCAGGGUUUGCGGAGCGAGAUAAGCGUUUGUCUUUCUCAUUCUAAAGUGGCUCCUGUUAAGCUCCAUACCUGGAAGAUGACUGAUUUUGACAAUGCAAUUUACAUCUCUGUAUAAAACAAUCUCACACUGCGCCUGCCGAUUUACACCGGAUUAAACUGUUUGUCUCCGUCACGGGGUAACCACACAAUCUAUCAGGGCCCCUGUGCCUUUUCCGAUACCGCAUUCCCUCUCCCGUCCCUUGAGAGCAGGAAAUUGAUCCAGAGUGCAAAGCGGGGCCUCCCCCCUUUUUAAAAUUGCUACAACAGCUUUGCAGGACCUACAAUUAUUGAAACAUGCAGAUGUCAGUAAUUUCAAUAAAACUGAUAUGCUAGUAAUGAAAACAUCUGACUGAGGGGGCGACGGCUACACGAUUUAUGGCCGCAUUAGAGGGAAAAGGCUGAGAUGACAGUUUUGCGGCGUUGCUCGGCACUCCUGUGUUUCGCACGCAUUAAAGGCGCAGAUCAAUUAGCGUCCGGCGCUGUUAGCUUUGCCACAGACAGUCCUUUUUACGGUGACAUGAAAAAUGCAUGGGUUCCUAAGAGAGAUUUUGGAGCCAUUAGUUGUCUUCAUCCUCGCAUGUUUUCAUGUAAGUGUGCGUUUGCAGUGAUGGAUGACUUUAGAGCAGCACAAGCUCGCGUCUAUCUUUACGAUCACAGAAGAAGAAGAACUGUGAUUUUCUUUUGUGUAUUUAACUCCCGGCGCUGAUUUUAAGUAAUGACACGCUGUUUUUCAGGAUUAAACAAACUAUAAAGCCCACUUUAACACUAAUAUGUGCUUAAUUUCCUUCAUUAUGGUGCCAAUUCAGAGCAUGCAGUUGUAGUCCACCCACACAGAUCAAAUACCUUCAUGUAUCUGUUAUUGCAGUGCUAUGAUCUCAUUGUGUCUGAGUGCUGCCUCUCCAUUCCCCUCAGGUGAGUCAUUGCAGGGCCUGUCACCCCCUCCACUCCAUACGCCGAAUGUCUCAUUCUAAUUAAAUGAACAUUAAGACCCCCGCUUCCGUCUCCUGUCCCUUUCUCUUUCUCGCCCUCUCUGAUGCUAUCAGAGCCAGGAGAGCUCAAAUGUUAAAGUAAUGAAUGUGUUAGCACCAUGACAGGAGCAAGAAGAAGAAGAAGAGGAGAAGGAGGUGGAGAGGAGUCUGAUGUGUGACUGUGCAGUGCAGCCAGGUUUUCUCCUCGAGCCGCCGUGGCAGCAACAGGGCUUGGUCACAUUCGAUUUGCAUAACCUGCUAAAAAGCUAUCAGAGGCCCUGCAAUUGAUUGAAUUUCACCUCAGAGAAGUGCUAAUUAAUAACGCCGUGGAUCUGACAGGCCUUUAUUAUGUGCGUGGGACAGGAGAUGAUGUCUGUAUUAGCAGGCUCUCUGGAAGCUGUGGAGGAGAAUAUAGAAUGAUGAAUUAAUGGAACUACGUCCUGGCUCUAUCAUCAUAUCAUUAGGAGACCAUUGAUGGUUUCACACCACAGGUAGAAAUCUAUAAAAGUGUAAUGGCACUGUAAUAUUUAGGCUGCGGCUUAUAUUAUCUGCAGUAUAUCAUGGCUGCUGUAUUAGGGUCAUAUUUUCCAUGAGCGCUGAAGUGGAAGUGACCCGGGAUUUCAGGAACUGUGGCAGAGAUGUCAUACCUUAAACACAAACAUGGCGAGGUACUUACAGUAUUUUAAAUUUCUUAAAUUGUUUUAACUGCCAGACUUUUCUUCAAGCUAAUUUUACAUCCGAAUGAUCUCAUUUUUUUCCCCUUAUGGCCAUACAUGAGAAAGACUUCUCAUAAAACCAGCCUAAAAUGGAGCCAACUCACCAACCACUAGGUGGCUUUUGGGGAGGAAAGCUGACCUGUAAUCAUCAAAACAAAUUACAUCAGCAUAAGAGGAAAUGGUCGUAGAAAUGUGCCAUGAGAGUUUCAGACAGUUAUUAUUGGGUUUAGCUUGUUGUUUUGACUUGUCGUUAAAAUAAGAUCGCUCUUUUUUCAACUCAAGGUAGCGAAUUAGAUAAUGACCAAGUUAAAGUGCCAAAAUAUAACACUGUAUGUACUCCUUGAGCUAUUUUUGGAUGCUGUCCCCUAGGGGUGUCUCGAUAAGAUAUUGAUGUCAGAUAUCGGUCCUAUAUUAGCAAAAAAAAAAACCAAAUAUUGGAUUAUAUCGGCCUGUAUCUAAAAUCUCCAAUAUCAGCACUCCGAUACAAGCAUUCCAGACUCCACUUCGGCACCUCUAACUAGCAGCGCCCUGAUCCAGCAAGCUGAGCCCACAAAAUCACAACAACAGUGUGUACUAAGGUACUAACAAAGUAGCAAGGAGUAAGAGAGAUGUUGUAUAUUUUGUUUAAGUCUGAAAAAAAAAUUGCAGCUCAAUGUAAAACUUGUCAUGCACAAUUUUGUGCCAAUAUUGGAUGAAUAUUGGUAUCGGUCAAUAUUGAAGUCUACAGUAGCGGAAGUCAGAAAGUUAUAUCCGGACACUCCUACUGUCCAUGACAUAGUUUUGUUGUGAUGUUAAAAUCUAGUGAUACAGUACAAAGAGUCUAAAGGACACUUUUAAUCUUUUUACUUUCUUUAUUAUGUGUCUUAGUUACUUCAGAUUAGGACGUAAACUAGCGACUAGCAAACAUACAUCCACAAAAAGGUCAGGUUUGACGUUGUAAGAAGAAUUGACCUUAAAGUUAUUUCGGUGCCUAUAAAACAAGAAAUUACAGUGAAUGUUACACAGCCAGUAAGCCGACUGUUUAGUGAUGUUAGCCGUAUUUUUGAUGUGCUGUCUUUAUUUCUCAAACAUAAACCAAUUUGUCUCAUUAUUGUUUACUUGAAAGAGACUCAACACAUUUUAUUAUUUUCGCAUUUAGUUGGAAAAAAGAUCAAAUAACAUCACCUUUGCUAGCUGGCAUCAGAAGUGUUAGUCUAACUAGCCAUUAUAUUUUAUCAUGUCGGUAAUAUAUUGAGUCUGCUCACCUGCUGCCAUAGAAGGCUGUAGUUCAGUUGUUGAUUGCUGCAAUAAUGCUCUACUACCUGGAUGCAAACAUGCUUCAAUCACGAUGGCAACGCAAUCUACUCAGCGGGGAUAAAACAGUAUGUAGCCAUUGUCUGGGUCAACUGAGGCAAUAUGUAACUACUAACCAGACAUGACAGGUGGAUGUUAACCUGCAAGGUGGACCCAAGGCUGCGGGUGCAAGCUCCAAUAAUAGCCAAAUCCAGCAAAACCCAUUGUUUACCCACAUACUCUGACCUCAUGUUUGGGUGUGUUUCAUCCAUUUUACUGACUUUUGACAUAGAGUAGUUUUAUUUGGAUGACUGUGAUCGUUGAGGGUUUUUAAGCAUGUUUUCCUACAGUGUCUCAUACCUCUUUUACUGUCACUCAAACCCAAGGAUCAAAAGGCUCUUGUAUCAUGUUAUUGCCUUACUUACAGCGUUUCUAAUCCACAAAUAAGCACCUUUCUAUAUGUGAUGGUGAUGACAAACAGAAGACUGUCUAAGCCCAGCUUGGCAGGGGAGUUUCCCAUAGUUAAAAAGAUUUAUUUUUCCGAAUCUUGUUCUGGUUUUUGCUCUCUCUCACUUAGUAAGCUCCUCAUGGAAAAGCUCUGAUUGGUAUCUGCCAAGGGCUUUGCUCAUUUUGGCCAGAUUGCUCCCCCCGUAGCCCGGCCGAUAAUGCUCCAAAUUCACUCUCACCGACGCCAUCGCAAACUGCCAGAGCGGUACGCCGUGUUGUUGCCAACAGCAAUUACCCUGGUAGAAACAACUUAACUAUGUGUAAAUGACCAGUGCUGCUUGGUGGAUAUCAUAUUUCCUGAAUAACUUAUUAGAUUAAGAGGCUGCAUUGUGACGAGAUUGAAACCGACAGAUAAAGAAAUCAAACCCAGAUUUUGCCGCACAUCUGACCAGAAGUUGUUUCAUAACCUCAGUCGACUAAUAAGAUGAAUUCCUUUUGUUUAUACCCGUGAACUCUAUUGCAAUAAAAACAAGCCUUUAUUGUCGAACUAGAGAGUGUUUUCCUGUUAUGAAUUGCAGUUCAGUGGUGAAACAGAUACAAUAAUGUAAACAUCUCCCUUUUUAUGUCUUUUAUUAAGGCGCUAUAUAAGCACACAUAUAUUAGAUACAGCAGCACUGUGUGAAAGAAAGAUUAGAGUAUUCUGCAGAUAAAGAACCACAUUAUGUUGCUUUACUACUUAUUCAAGGUCAUACUGUAUACUAGUAGCACCGUGAUGCUUUCAUGGUCUUCAAUGCUUAUUGCUCUAAAUUAGCUCUCCUAAAUCAUAGUGGCCUUUCAGAUAGGACGCCUGAGAGUCCUGCAUGUGUUAAUGUUGUAUACGCCCCGCUCUUCUACUUGAAGCAGAAACGCGCUUCAUCACUCCAUGAAACAGGGAAAUGCCCUGUGGGUAAUGAGACUGACUGCAAUUGAGAAUAAGUUAUGGAGCUAAUAUUCUAUAUCUGCACAUAACCAGGGCUCUACAGGACGUCAUAAACACACACUUGGGUGUGUUUUCCCAAACAUCAUUCUGCCGUGCAUAUUAUUUCCCUGUCUGUCUUCACGGUGGUUUUUGUAAUUGUUGGGUGACUUGAUGGAUUGCAUUUGAUAUGUCAGCAUAGUUUCCCCUGAGGUUUCCGUUUCUUCAGGGCAGCGUAAGCCAUUCUCUAUGGUUUGUCUGUGUGUGACGUGCAUUAAUGCCCUCCUCUGAUCUGGAUCCAGGUUGUUAAGCCGUCGUGUGAAAAGUCCAAACAGCGUUGCAGGGAGUGUGUUGUCUCCUUAAAGAGAGAGCUCUGGUAUCAGGUAGGAUUUAAAUCCCAGCUCAGGACCUCCCAAAGAGUCAUUUGUCCAAAUGAGCAUUAGUCAUUAUUCUUUAAGCCCUUAUUGGAGCUCAUGGAUCUCCCAACAAAUAGGUGGCCCGUGACAGAAAUAAGGUGUAAGCACUCAAUAUCCCACCUCCUUACUCCACUCUCCACUCCCCCCCACUCUUUUCUCACUGCCUUUUUUCUCCCGGUGUAACACAAAGACAUGCAUAAUGUGGACUGCAAUCUGAUAAGUGUUCCUGCAUAGUAGCCCUCCCCUGCUCUAUACAUCACAACAGUUCCACUGAGUGUGUAUAUGUGUGUUUGCAGGAGAGAGUGAGCAGAUCAGAGCAGGGGGAGCUGCAGUCAGGAUUGAACUGGGCUGUCUGAAGUUGAUUAAUCGGCCUGUGAGGGUGAGAGACUCCCGGGCCAGGCAGCAGGGUCCAUCCCCGUGGCAUGUGAUGCUGAUUGGCUUUGUCCUGUGCGUCUGCGCUGGAGGAGCGGACAUUAAGAUUAAGUGAUGCUGUCGUGUCGGGGAGCACUGCACUGCAUCAUUCUGGGAAGAGACAGCUGUGCUGCUUAAUCCUUCAUCACCAGGGGAGAGCUGCCAGGGCCCAGAUAUACAGCCAAAGAUAACCCUCCAUAACUUCUGCUAAAGAUCAGGAAACUUUGAAUUCGCAUCCAUCUGCUCGGCUCUGUUCGGCUCAACCCCCCCUCCUCGUCUGAGUGCCUGAAAUGAGCAGUCACUAAGAACGCUAAAUAAAAGGGAGGAGGAGGAGGAGAAAGUGAAGGAUGGCUGGAGGGAGUAAGCUUAGACCAGUAGUGUGCAUGAGCUGUGUAUGGAUAACCUCUGGCACCGAGGACUGCCUUUUGUCUUCCUAAAUGAAAGAUUCAUGAUGCAUAAAUUAUAAGCAGGCUGUAGUUCCUGCAGAGUAUCAUUCAGAUUACUCAAGGCAUUUUAUCAUUUUAAGAUGUCCUCAACAUCAAAACCUAUUUAUUGUUCGGGAACUAUGGGCACCUGGAAACUUUAGUGCAUUGACAACGCACAAGAUCACGCUAAUGAGGGAGGGGAGACCAAGUGCAGUUAAAUUUGUGGUUCUAAGAAUUAAUAUUCAAUAGUAAAUCUUUUGGUUUGUCUAUGAAGACAUCUGGAAAUCUUGGCCAGUAAGUCAGUGUGUCUAAUUUACAGUCUAAUUGGCAACAAAAGUAAAUGAAUAAACAAAUAUAGAUUGAUAAAUAAAUAAAUAAAGUAAUUCAUAUUUUUUUGUUUCUGCAUGCUUAAAGCUGCUGUGAAGAGAUUUUUCGGGUUACAAAACACUUUAAAAUGGAAACCAAUGUUACUGUAUGGCACACAAAAGAAAACUAUACCAACAGCAAGACAGUUUACUGUUCCUUUAUUGUUAGUUUUGAUGCCUGGAAGCUCUGCAGGAGGGUAGGUGUCAGAUAAGGAAAGACAAAACACUGCAUAAAUAAAUAUUUCAAUAUUUUCUGCAUGUGAAGAUGAGCUGUAAGUGAUUUGUUUGACUGUUGAUAGCCAAGAUGCAUUUUAUUUUUUAAAAAAUCCUAUUUUUGCACCGAGAGUAGAAGAUCAACGAAGAUAUGAGAGGCACAGAUUUGUCCACAGGAGGCGCCAAAACCAACAUGAACCAAAUGCUUUCCACAGAAGCUUAGAAAAUAUCUUUUUUUUUUUUGUUAUUUUAUUUAUUUUUCAUUAUUACUAUAAAAUUGAAGUUGUUUUUUUUUUUUUUUAACUGUUCAGUGUCAAUAAAAACCUUCCCAGAGACAGAAACCAUCCAUGUUUCUCUUCAGACCCAUGUGUGAGCCACUUCUCUUAGAAUGGAUCGUAUUUACUUUGGGUUUGCCGGGGAGAAAAGCAAGCUGCUGUGUUGUGAGAGCAGAUAAAUCCUGGGUGGAGGCCGAGGAGCUGACUGAUUCCUCCUGUAUGCAGCGAUGGGUGGCGUCAGCAGGUUUCACACUGCUGGCCUUUGCAUGUUUGCAGCUGGCUUGAUGCAGCUGUCAGGCCGUGAUUGAUGAGUAUCAUCAUUUAAAGUGUAAAAGAAAACGUCUCUGUGAAGGGAGACAUGAUGAACUGCCGCCUGCUGGCGCUCUCUGAGACACGCACGGUGCUUCCUCCUCCCUCUCCUGUUUCUCCCCUUCUCCUUCUCCCUUUUUCUACUUCACUGCUCCCCCUGUCUACCCCUCCGUCCUUCCCUCUCUUUUUACUUCUUUUUCUCUACCUUCUCCACCCUUUCUUUGACUUUUGAGCACCUCCCUCGCUGUCUCCUCUUUUUCUCUGUUCCUCCCACUUUUCUCCUUUUGCUCUCUCAUCCUGUCUCUCUACUGCCCCCGUGAUUUCCGCGUCUGUCCUCCCUCUUUUAUUCAGCUUUAUCUAACUCACUUUUGGUGUGUCACUCUUCUGUCUCUAUGAUUCUUCCUCUUACACUUUCACUCCCUUCUUACACCUUUCCUGCCCUCUAUAUGUCUCCUGAAGACAAGGGAGUCUCCAGAAGCAGACAGCGCUUGGGUCUGGACUGUGCAUUUUGUCUCUGAUACCCCUCAAAUCGCAUUAAACGUCAAAAUUCAUACGGCCUCGUCAGGUGAUAUAUUUAGUCCCGUUUGCCUGCUGCAUACCUCCACAGCCACCAUGACAGUGACAUAUUAGUUAUGCCGUCUUUUGCAAUGUGAUAUCUUUAAAUUUGCCACCUUGUUAAGUUUUGAUUAAUGCGAUUCCAUUUCAGCAAAGUAAUUGGCUUGGCCCUGUUGUGAGCGAUACACAGGCGCCGUGCCGGAACAAACGCUGCAACAUGGUAAUGAGGCAAUGAGUUUGUUCUAUGGUUGUUGGCAAGUGACAGUUAUUAAUGAUUGUUAUGAUAAACAGACGAGUGCAGAUCGAGAAGAGGAGGGGGUGGAUGAGUCGGGCCAGACUGACAGUUUAAAAAUAACGUGCACUGGAAAGUACUAACGAAGUAAUACAGUGUUAGGAAAACAAUCAUGCAGGUUGUCAGAGGAAGAGGUGUAAUUACAGCGCUACACCGGCCUGCCUGGGAGGAGCCGGCUUCUAAUAGAGCUGGAGGAAUAUACACUGACAGAAGAGAGUGCAAUGAUAUACAACUUUAAUUGGAUCAUCUUUUUACCCCCCCCUCCUCUCUUUUCUCAGAAUACAAAGGAGGUCUGUGCUCACAGCUGUGUUAUGAUAGGUUUGCUCUCCUGUGAAGACUGGUGACCCUUUGUAAAUGGUUGUAUAGCACAGGGAACCGCUGUGUUUGUGUGAUCUGAACAUGGACUGUAUUACUGUUGCUCUCCUGGUCUCUGCUCUGUAUCAAAGCCGGGGAAAUGUGUACACAAUGUGUUUAAACGGUGUGAAGUGAUGUAAACGGAGCGCCACUUUAGCCUCACUUUCUAUUUCCAUACAGAGGAGAAGUAUUUUACGUGAAGAAAAACCACCUUUUGUUUCUUGUUCUGUUAUCCACAACUGUCGCACUCGAUUGAUGUAAUUGUCCUUACAAAUCCUGGAUGAAAUUGAGUCUGAGCGCUUGUAUAAACGAUAGAUAAAAGCCAUAUGUCACACAACUGUUUACUCACUAACCGCCGUUUCCUAUUUGCUUCUCUUUUGCGUGUAGGCGUAUGUUAGAUUUGUCCAUCUUCCGUUGUCAAGCCUGAACUUUUGGUGACACCUAACCUGUUCCAGUGCGAGGCGAGGUUGUCAUGAAAUACUUUUCUUUUGGAAUGUGACGAUCAGAUGACUUUGCCGACCUUUGAGUGAACCUUGUCUGGUGUUGAUUUAGUGAGGCACAGAGAUCAAAGAGAUCCCUCUCAGCUUUUGUCAGUGGGCUGUUGGUGUAUUGGCCCCGAGUGUGAACAAAACCAAUCCUACACAACACUGAACUAACUGUGAACUAGAGGCAUGCUGACUGUACCGAGGUCACCGCUGGAACCGAGGCUUUAUUGAAUUUUUUUUGACGAUUUUAACCUGACAUUAUUUCUCUCCUUUUUAACUUUUGAGGAGCGAAAUGUAAACCUCACCACAUAGAAGAUACUCUUUCAUAGAUGAGAGAUGGAGACGGAAAGUAAAGCUUCGAAGGCCUCUGUGAAAAUCUUCUCAUGCGCGCAGCAUGGUCCGCCUCGCAUAUACAAGAAAUCCAAAGUGUGUGUUCUCUGUGUUGUUUUCCAAAGUGCUGACUCUGAGACAGCACUUUCUGUAAACCAAAGACGCCACCUAUCUUCCUAUCUUAUCGCAUCUUUAAACAAUCAUAUCCAGGCCUAGUUUGGCUCUUAGCGAUGUGAGUGCAGGCCAGGAGGAACUGGAAAGGGCUUUCAAGAUCAUGCUCAACAGCCUAAAAGUAUCUUUUCUUUGUUACCAUUGGGAAUUUGGCCAAAUAAAUAGCUUGGAUCUGAUUGUGGACACUUAAAGCUCCUGUUAGAUGUUUUUGAUGAGUCACCAAACCGAUCAAAAUCAACAGAGAUGCAUCUUUUAUUACCUAUAAAGCAAACAAGACCAUUAGCAAAAGGACUGACAAUUACUGUGAUGAAAUUUUUAAUGCCCAAUAAAGGGUAAAAUGACCCUUUAUUUUUCCACAGAGCUGAGGAACGCAGAAUGUUUUUUUUUUUUUUCCUCCAGCUUAUGCAUUUAAUAGGGUGACCGUAUUCGGAAUACCCUAAAAGAGGACAUGACUAUGUGGGGCGGAGUCAAGGAGUUGUGCACAGUUAAUUUUGAGGGUUUUCCAGUUGGAUCGAGUGUCUUUCGAACUCGAAACCUCCAUACAAAACCCCGGACAUUUGAUGGAUUUCAUAAACUCCCCCUGACAAAGCCAGACAAGGCUAGACAGCCCCCCUAGGACAUGUCAUGGUAAAAGAGAACGUAUAGUCACCCUAACAUUUAAUGCAUGUAAAUAUGUAUUUUACUUCACUGUAUUUUGUCACAUUUUCCAUGAUGUGUGCUGAUGACCUCUUGGCCAGGUCACCCUUGUGAAAGAGAUCUUGAUCUCAAUGGGUUUUUUAAUCUGGUUAAAUAAAUGUUAAAUAAAAAUAAAAAAAAAUACAAGCUCAGCAUAGACAGAAGAGGUAUCAUUUUGUCCACAGGGGGCGCCACAAUUAAGACAACAGAAAGUUUCUCACAGGAUCUUUAAAGAUAAUUACAUAUGGAAAUAUCACUGAAAUAGAAACUAUGAACCAAACUUGUUAAAUCCUCCGUACACAGUUGCUAUCCCUUAGUAACUUCUUGUUUGUGUUGAUUCUGGCGCCCCCUGUGGACAAAGUUGUUUUCAGCUGCUAUAAGACAGUGUUUUCUGGCAGAAGAAAUCCUCUUUUGUCUCCCACAGUGUGUCCCUCACUCUGGAAAAUGUUUUAAAGCAUGAUUAUUUCUUCAGGAUACUAUUAAUUGUCCUGUAUGACACAUACCCGAUCGCAUUGAUUAAAGGUAUAAAAAAUUCCCCUACAGAAACACUAAUUCUAGUCGCUGGUGGUCUGGUUUGCUUUUGUAGAUCAAUAAGAGGCAUCAGUAUUGAUCUCAGUCUGUUUCAUUACCAGCUAAAAACUCCUUACAGCGGCUUUACAAUCAUUCAAGGUCCAACUGUGGAAACUGAUUGUGGUGUAAUGGUUAGAGAAUAAGUAGUGAUUCAGUGCCAUUUUUAAAUAAACUGAAAAAGUAUUGUCAUCCUCUAAUGGUUUUAGUUGGCGGUAAGUGGCCUGGUUGGAAUUUCAGGACCCUACACAAUCCAUUAUCUUAGUUUUCCAACACCCUGUCAUUGUUGACAGGUGGAUUAUAAUUUUUCUAUAGCAGAACAAUUGAAAUGACAGCGGUUUAACAAACUUGGAUAGGACAAAGGAGACACAGAGUUCCAACAGGAAAUAUGCUGCCAACAUUUGUGUGCACUCUGUUUUAGGAAGUAAAAAGUCCUGCUUUCUAUCUUCCUCAGGAGUAAGAGUUUUCCAGAUUGUCCAAAUAUGCACUGAACAGGACUGGCUUUGAUAAAUGAGUGGUUAAAACUGUUUCUACAUGAACAGUCAUACUGGAAACCCACAAAACUUUGACCAAGAAAGUAAAACAACGAAAAAAAAAACUACAAACUGGAAGUAUACUCAUACAAAGAAUUUAUUGCCCUAGAUUUAAAACAUAGAAUUAUUCAAGCAGUUUGAUCUCCCCUGCACUCUUUCUAUUAUAAACAGCUUUAGCACCAGUUCAGUGUUGUAUUGGCCGGGCUCCCAUUUCCAUGCUGCUUGCUUCUUGGCGCUGUCAGGCUCAUUCUCUUCACGGCUCCAUUCUUUUUCUUUUUGAAGGCUGUGAUUCCUGGCCAUAUGGAGCCCAUCCCUUUGUCUUGUGUGGUGCUAUCACAUCGCAGGCCCUACACUUUUUUUUUUUUCCUUUCCAAGGCUGGGUUAGCGUGUGGAGCUGCUUGGUGACUGUCAGCCCCGGUAGUCUUCUGUUUGUUGACAUGUGAAGCCGGGCAGCAUACUGUAGGCCUGAUGUUGGAACUCACUUACAAUUAAGCUGAGAAGACGCUGACAUGGGGCCUUCUGCCUCGACAAGUAUCAGGAGGAGACAGCUGUGUGUUAUCCCAUAGAGCAUAAAUCACUUAUUGCUUUGCCUAUUUAAGAGAACAUUGAAUGAAUGUUGACUUAACUUAACAAGAAUGCAUGAACUUAAAAAACAUUUCUAGUCGUAUCUCUCAGUAGGAAACAGAUGAGUAACAGGAGGUGAAGGAGAAAGUACGAACAGCGUGGAGUUGGUUGCCUCUCUCUCCCAGCUGCACACUGUCUCAUUGGGCAUGUAUCAACACUCGCCUCCACUUCCCCUCCUCAGUGUCCCCACUUCCCUGAACUUCUCAACAACUACAGCCCCCAAGCCCCUGUGCCUUCAUAAUGAGUUUAGUCAGAGUGAUUAGAGCUGUACUAUUCUACUGUCAGUGAUUAUUAGACACGAGCCAAAGCUGAAGACCUUUGUCAGCUAUUAUUUUAAUGGCGCUAUUAGUAUGAGUCCUUGGUGGUCAUCACAUUCAUCAGUCAUUACAGGCCUAUUUCUGUUGUGCACGGUGAUAGAUGGACCUGACCAACAUCUGACAAUUUAAACCAAAAUCAAUUUAAAAAAGGACAAAAAAAAAAUCUGUUGGAAUUCAUACUUACGAAUUUUGCUCAACUUUUUCUUUGUAAUGUCUGUAUGAAUGUACUCAAAGGGUAACCAGGUAACUCUAUAAAAUCAGGGGUUGUCAACAAAUCUGUCUGUGAUCACCUUAGACCAUAUGAAACAUAAAAACGUCUCAGUGUUUCUGACAGACAAGGUUUAAAACAUUCACCCCAUGAGAAUACAGACCAAUCCCAACCAAGAUUUGAGAGUGCUGCUUAGUGAUGACCCAGAAGUGUAAUGAAGCCCAAAGAGGGCAGUCCCCAACUUGCAAAUAUGCUGAGUCCAACAAACUUCCACUCAUCAAGAAAAAAGCAAAAAAAAUGGAGUUGAUUGGUGCCUUUUAAACAGCAAAUCUCUGUACAACUCUUUAAACUCAUUGUGCUUAACGCUUAGCAUAAGUCUGUACAGUUGAGGAAACAGUAACCAGAGCUCUUACUUUAAAAGUGAGAAUUUAAGGGGGUGCCAGUUUGCUGCGUGCCGUUCCCCGAUCUCUUCUCAGUUUCCUAAUCCUCUGUUCUAGCUCUAAACAAAGGGAUAAAGCCGCCCAUUAUUAUAAUAUGAGCUCUUAAAGGGUUCCUUUGAGUGUUGGAGACAGUUUUUUUGGUGCUGUGCAUUGGCUUGAUUAAAAUCUAUGAUUCUGUGCGGAACAUAUGGCCAACUACAGAGUUGUUUGGAAUAGAGCAAACUAAGGGCAGAAUUUAAAGCGAUCACAACAAC